GCUUUGGUACCUCUACCACCACUAUGUCUUGCCUCGCAUCCAAAGAAGGUGCCAUGUAAGCACACAUGUUAGGAUUCUCCUUCAGUAUCUCCUCGUCCAGGUGCAUAUAUCUCUUCUUUAUCAUCGACUUGUCACCUGAAAUAUUUUAAACCAAUAUGAAUGUUAAUCAUCUUCAUUGAACAUCAUAAACUUGUUAAAUUUAGGAUUUUGGUAGAUAUGAGAAGAUGAGAGGACUUACACAUGCGCUGGAACUUCUCUUUGAGGUCGGUCAUGUGCUCACUGUUUGUGAUUCUGAAGUAGUAAUCAGGAUAUGUGCUUUGAUCAACACAGUUUGAUGGGGUUGCAGUUCCUAUGGCAAGGAUGGUUGCUGGGCCUUCUGCCCUUUGAGCCUGGCGGAUCUCGGAUACACUCACCAUCUUAGUUUUCUUGAAUAGAACCAAUGAAGUGGUGAUUUUGACGAUGGUUUAGAACACCGAAUCAAGCACUGCGAUUUGGUUAAAAGAUGAAAGAAGUGACCAAGUUCACAGCACUUGAGUGGUAGAGAGGGUUGUUGGUUUGGUUGCUGAAGUUGUGUGUUUGAAGAUGUUGGAGGAGUUAGCAUUUUAUAUGUAUGCAAGGGUGGAUAGGAAGUAGGGUAGGUGAGUAUCACGUGCAACACCAAAGCCUUCUUACGUUGAAAACAUAUAUUUUUUGCACUGCCUACCAUGUCUGCUUCCUAGUUCGUGAGGUAGGAGUUUGGUGGCAUAUUUUUGAAGACCAUCUCCAUCCACAUAUAACUCAUUCAUUCAUUCACUGUUAAAUUUAGUAACCAAUAAUUGGUGAUAUUUUAUGCAUCUCUACCCUAUGAAAAUAUUUAAUCACAGUGCGUCCAACUUUUUGUGUGUUUUUAACUUUUAAUUUGAGUCAAGCUUGGUAGCGCAGCAAGAUUGUCUACCACUUGUAUUGGUAGGUGGACUGUUAAAUAACAUCGACGGCCACAAUCAAAUGAAAGUAAAUUCUACGGGCAGAUUUGCGCCACGUCAGGUUUUUGAAUUGCACAACACUACCUCUUUCAUAUAUUUUAUUGUAUAUUUUCUACUUGGUUACAUGGUUGGUCAAGGUCAAGCAUAAUUGAGUUCUAUUAAGCCAAAAAAAAAUGUGGGCACUGAAUAUUUUAAUUAAAUUUCAACGAGAGAAGUUUAUUCUUGAACGGUCAAGGUAAUAGAGCUACCUACCCAUUUUGAACCAAAGAAGCAUUUUUAGUUUGCUUGAUGCUCCUUUAUUUAUACAAUAACAAGUUUUUAGAUAACAUUUUCGGUAUAUGUUUGUUGAUGUUACUGAACUAUAAGAGUAUCUCCUUUUUAUCUGAAUAAAUAAAAGAGAAAAGUUUUGUUGAAAUAUGAAGAGUAAAAAACACUUUUGACAUUGUUUAUCAUAAUAUAAUAAUAUUUUUAAAUUAAUAUAUAUAUAUAUAUAUAUAUUAAUUUAUUAAAAGGUGAAGGGUAUGUUUUUACUAUUGAGAGUUUUAAUAUAUUACCAUCCUAAAUAAAAACGAUACCUGUGAGAAGUAAUUUAAUCAUGACUUAUUUAUCAUGGGUUGAUAUAACUAAAGUGCCGGAGUUAAAUAUUGUAGUGGUUUAGAAUUCCACAUUUGUCCAAUAAUAAUAAUAAAAAGAUAAUAAUAAAAAGUUAAUUGUAAUUUGUAUUUUUUUUUAUCAGCAAAGAAUUAAGUAAAUUAAUGAUACUUCAGGGUAUUCCAACUCUUAUACAAAUACCAUCAACAAGUCUAAAGAAAAAAUAAGAAUAGCAACUACAAAGAGUGACAUAAAGCUGCAUAAUAUCUAGCGGAACCAAAGUUUUCAUCCACAACUUGGUUACCGAACACAAAGGAAGAAAAUGUAGGGACCUAAGUCCCCUUCCCACAUCAAUGUUGAUCUUACAUUUGCAUCGUACAUCACAACAGCUUGCCCAAAAACCUUCCAAAAAUCCUUGGUCUAUCAUUGCAUGAACUCCACAUACACUGCCAUUUUGUUCCAUCAUUUUAUCUAAAACGAGUCUUAGGUGAUUGGCAAGUGGAAUGGCACGUUGGCUCUCUCACCCCUACUUCUUUCUUAGGUGGCUUUGAAGAAAGUAUAUCAUCUCCAGCUUAUGAAUAUGAAUGUGUGUCCACAUUUUUUAUUUUUAUUAUUGUAUGUAUAUUAUUAUAUGUGUAUUCGUAUAUUUUAAAUGUCAAAUAUCACUAAAAAAAAUAAGAUAAAAAUAUUUUCUCUCAUCAACUAUGAGUUUCAACAUACAACAUACAAUUUUAAUAAUUAAGUUAUAGUACAAAAUAUAUUACACAAAUUCAAAUUUAUAACACAAUGAACAUAAUUAUAUUAAAGCAAUUACGUCAUUUGUUUCAUUCUCAAGACUUGUAAAUCAUUAAUUUUGAUUUGUUACUAAUAUAAAAUUAAAAAAGAAAUAUAAUAAUGAAAAGAAAAAGAAGAAGAAUAAGAUGAGAAAGUCCCACUACAAGAAAAAAAUCAAUUUAUCUAUCGAAGAAUUCCAUAGGUAACAAUCAAAAUUCGUAGGUAAGUCAACAUGACCUAUGGAAUACCACAAAACAAAAUUCGUAUGUAGUGUGUUCGUGGGUAAUGAAGACAGGAGUUACCCACCAACUCCAGUCCAUGAGUAAAUCCAAAAAUAAUUCAACAUAUUUUAUUUUUAAAUUUUCAAUUAUUAUUUGAAUCUUUUUUUUUUAUUAUUAUUAUUGUAGUGUAACAUUUAUUUUAUUUUAUUUUAAGAUAAUUGAAUUUAAUGUACUAAAAAUAAAAUGUUUUUUUUAAUCAUCUAAAAGAGUUAGUAUUAAGAGUGACAAUAGACUUGGUUUUAGGUAAAGUCUUAUUUAAAAUUUGUUAAUAAAAAUAAUAUAAAGAAGAUAUUUCAAUAAGAUAUUAAAAAAAUUAGUCAUCUUCAUUAAAAUAUUUUGUAGCAAAAUUUGAUAAGAUACUCUGAUACAUUUACAUACAUAUAGAGGAAAAAUGGACGCAAAAAAAUAAUUAUUUUUAAUCAAGCCUUCUAACAAUUCUCAUACUUGAAUUCAUAUUUUUAUCUUAAUUGAAUGAAUUGAAAUAUAAAAUAAAUUUUUAAUUUUUCAGCAGAAGAAAUAAUUAUUUUUAUAAUUAAUAAUUUUUAAAAAAAUAUUUUUUUAUGCGGGUUGACCCGCACACCUCUUAUGCGGGGCGGGCUAGUGAAAUAAACCUGCAUUCCUUGCAUAGGGCGGACCAAACACAGAACAAGCCUAUACGAGGCGAGUCAACCUGCAUUGUCAUCCUAAUUAGUAAUUAGAAUGACACUAAGUUGACUCUUGAACUUCUUGAUAUACAAUUUGUUAUUUUAAAUUAUGAUAUUUUAUUGAGUUUUUUAUAUUUAAAUUUUGUUACAACACAUAUGACACACAAGUUUAUGACACAUAAGUUUACAACGACAGUUGGUAACUACAGCUUCAAUAACUAAUUAUUUUUUGUAUUUAAAUUUAUUGCUAUUUAAAGAUUUUUUUUUUGGAAUGUAAUAUAGGGUUUAAUGACUCAGAUAAACAAGAUUUAAUUGAUCAAUUUUAAGAUUACUUUUAAAAUUUUGUAUCUAUAAUUUUAAAAUAAUAUUUUCAUCAUUUAAAAGAGAUAAUCACGGUUAAAUGUUUUGUCACAUAUAUAUGCAGAAUUACUAAUUAGUGUGAGAUGUAAAAUAGGAUUAUCGGUAGCCUGCAAUAUAGUUCUCAUGUUUGUGUUGGUAAUAUUGAAGACUCUUUCUUUUGGCUUCUACUAAACUUAUAGAAGGUUGCUAAACUUUUCAAGAUAUUAAAAGAGUAAAUGAGUAAUAUAUCCCAUCUUCAAGAAUGCAUGGUAUAACUUGGUUUGUUGCAACAAGAUGAUAAAUAAAUUAUAGUUACAAUUCAUGAGAUAAACAUAUGUUUUUUAUUCUUUUGAUUUCAAACCACAUUUAAGCCUGAACUUGUGUGAGAAGUUAGUUGGAAAGAGUUUUGUGGUGAUAUUUUCCCCAAGUAAAGAAGAAUUCUCAAAUGGCUUAAAGUUCUCUACCACAAAUAUAAGAAAUCCUUCAAUUCAAUGGUAUGACAUUUUUCUCAAUUGAUAAUGUCACAAGCUGUCAAGAGUUGAAUUUUAAUGGCACUUAUUUAUCAUAAUGGUUGAAUCAACAUAUUUCUUCCACGUUGAUGAUAAUUUUUUUUGUUUAAUUUUACCUUUUCAAUAUCAAACUUUGUAAAUAUAUUUUCAUGAGUGUCAUUAGACAACUAUUUAGAUCUCUUGAGUUGAAAUACCUAUAAAUAUUAAAUUCAAAAAAUUUAUUAUGAUUCCAAUGAUUGAUAAAGUUUAUUUAUUCUAAUAUUGUUGAAAACUUUAACAACAUUUUUUUUAUCAGCAAAGAAUAGAAUAUAAUAUAAUAAAGAGAUACUUCAGUACCUCAAUCUGUAUACAAAAUUCAUGAAAUCCAACACUAAACCAGCUCAUAUACAAUAACCAUGAGACCCAAUACAAACUAAAGAAGAGAUCCUACAACCAGCUCCAAUACAUACACAAGAGUCUCAAAAUCCACCUAUGAGCAAAGAAAACAUAGAUAGGACCUAAAGAAUCUCAUUCUUCGGUGCCUAUUAAAGACAAAGGGAGUGUGGCCACAAAAGCUUAUAUACACAGUUAGGCAUUCAAAGAUAAUGGCUUAGAAACCAUGUGCAUUUUCCUAGUGACUCCAGCACAGUUGCAACUUGAGUAAGGCAUAGAGACUACCACGUGUCAAUACAACAAAUCAUAUGCACUAAUGUCCUCUUUUUUCUUAUCAGCAACGAAUUAAUGAAAUAAAAGGGACAAUUCAUAAAUGUCUUAACCCUUAUACAAAGAAAAGCCAACUAAGAUAAACAACAGAAUAGGCAACACAAAGCCUAGCUAACAAAACAUCAACUUAAGAGCAUCGUUUGUAUCUUAGUCUAACAUAAACACCUACACCUAAAUGAUACUACACCAUGUGUUGUCACAAGAGACCCAAACACCAACUAUAAAACAAACCUGUGUUGCAGAAGGCACCGAAUACAACUUCACCUACCUCUUUGAGUGCUAUCUGCUCACAUCCCCAACUCACCGACUCCAUCUAUCAUAUCAGCGUAGUACCUCAUGAUCCCCUUUUAUACCUUGUUUUUGGUUUAAUGGCUACCAUUCUACACUUAUCCUCCGAACCUGGUAUACCCUUCCCCCUUACAACCUACCCCCUUACAUUCAAUUGUCAAUAACAGCAGCAUCUCACACUAAUGCCCUGUUAUUCAACAUUUCUUAUUCAACAUCAAGUUAUUUAAUUCUUACUUUACAGAUUGCUUUAAGUAAACAAAUAUAUCACGACGUGGCAUUAAAAAAAAUAUUUGAAUUAGAAUUCUAUAUAUAAAGAAGAGGAUGUUCACAGGUUGAUAUCAAAGUUGUUUUUUCCACUUAAAUGCUUUGCUCAAAGAACUAAUAUUUAAAUUGUCACUCCGUGGAAAGAUGUUGCUAGACUUUUAAAAAAAAUAAUAACAAAUACAUAAUAGAAACAGAUAAUGAUCAUAAAAGAUAAAAGAUGUAAUUUUAUAUGGUUGUUAUUAAUUAGGCUAAAAGGCCACCAAACCAUGUAUAGUUUUAAUGUAAAUUACAACCUCCAGCAAGUUCUAAAAUUGGUACAUAAUAAAAUAAUAUGAUAGGGGCAUGGUGGGUGUUAUACUGCGACACUGUGGAGAACAACGGUCUCAAUGGUAAGUCCAGGUCCGAAACCAAAUAAAACACCCCAUUCAAGUCCUUCACCUGUGGUUUUAAGUCCAUUUUCAGCUGAUUUCCUUCUCAUCUCAUCCAAGAUGAAAAGCACACAUGCACUUGACAUGUUUCCGUAAUCACUCAGCACAUCUCUAGUGGCCUUCAUCUUUUCAGGUUUCAGACCCAAUUUUUGCUCAACUUGGUCUAGAAUUGCAGGUCCACCAGGGUGUGCAAUCCAGAAGAUGGAGUUGUAAUCAGAGAUGUUCAAUGGGUUGAAGGCCUCAAAAAGUGCCUUCUCAAUGUUCUUUGAGACAAUCCCAGGAACAUCCUUAAGGAGGUGAAACGUGAGUCCAACUUCACGUAGGUGGCCAUCAAUAGCACCAUCACUGUCUGGAGCAAUGGUCUGUGCAGUCCAAACCAGUUCAAACAAAGGCUUCUCAAUCUGUGGAAUUGGGUCAGAACCAACAAUCACUGCAGCUGCUCCAUCUCCAAACAAUGCCUGACCCACAAGACUGUCUAGGUGGGUGUCACUUGGCCCACGGAAAGUCACUGCAGUGAUCUCAGAACACACCACAAGCACACGGGCACCCUUGUUGUUCUCAGCCAAAUCCUUGGCCAAUCGAAGAACCGUGCCUCCAGCAAAGCAUCCUUGUUGGUACAUCAUGUACCUCUUCACAUAAGGCCGAAGUCCCAAGAGUUUGGUGAGCUGGUAAUCAGCACCAGGCAUGUCCACACCACUGGUGGUGCAAAAUAUCAAGUGUGUAAUCUUUGAUUUUGGCUGCCCCCACUCCUUUAUGGCCUUCACUGCAGCCUCUUUCCCUAGCUUUGGUACCUCUACCACCACUAUGUCUUGUCUCGCAUCCAAAGAAGGUGCCAUGUAAGCACACAUGUUAGGAUUCUCCUUCAGUAUCUCCUCGUCCAGGUGCAUAUAUCUCUUCUUUAUCAUCGACUUGUCACCUGAAACAUUGUAAACCAAUAUGAAUUUUAAUCAUCUUCAUUCAACAUCGUAAACUUGUUAAAUUUUGGAUUUUGGUAGAUAUCAAAAGAUGAGAGGGACUUACACAUGCGCUGGAACUUCUCUUUGAGGUCGGUCAUGUGUUCACUGUUUGUGAUUCUGAAGUAGUAAUCAGGAUAUGUGCUCUGAUCAACACAGUUAGAUGGGGUUGCAGUUCCAAUGGCAAGGAUGGUUGCUGGGCCUUCUGCCCUUUGAGCCUGACGAAUCUCGGAUACACUCACCAUCUCAGUUUUCUUGAAUAGAAGUAAUGAAGUGGUGAUGUUGAGAUGGUAGAGAGGGUUCUUGGUUUGGUUACUGAAGUAGUGUGUUUGAAGAUGUUGGAGGAGUUAGCAUUUUAUAUGAAUGCAAGGGUGGAUAGGAAGAAGAGUAGGUGAGCAUCACGUGCAUGACCAAUUGCCACUUUACGUUGCAAACACAUUUGUUGUAGUGUUAGUAUAUCAUGUGGUAGUUUGUGACGUAGAGUUUGGUGGCAUAUUUUAGAAGACGAUAUCUACCUCCGUUAACUCGUCAUCUAUCUUUGAAUUGACCAACCAAUAAUUGGUGAUAUUUUAUCACGUGUGUCGAACUUGGCCGUGGAGUGAAAAUAUUGAAUGAAUUAUUCUCCUACCGUCCAUCAACUACAGAUGCUGUGGGUUGACUUUUUUAAUCCAGGGUUAAUUUAUGCUAAUGCUGUUAUUUAGUUUUACUAGUUUUAAUCAAAAGUUGUUUAGAACUUUAAGAGUUGUAAAGUAUAUUUUCCUAAAUAAUUAACACAGUUUUGUAACGUUAAUUGGAGUGAACGGUGGUAGCGCAGGAAGAUACCGGAGGCAAUAGUGUUGGUAGGUUGCAGGUGAAGUAAUCGAACGGUCACAAUGAAAUCCCAAUUAAAUCAGAGACCACUAAUUCUUCAUAUUGUUUUAUUGUACAUUCUCUCCUGUUGGUUACUUUCGUUUGUCAUCAUCAAGCAGCAUUAAGUUCUAUGAACCCAUAAAAGAAUGUGCCCACUCAAUAUUUUAAAUUAAAAUUCAAAGUGAUUAGUUCAUUCUUCUACGGUCAACCUAUUAGAGCUACCAUUCUUUUGAUUUGCCCUUCUAUUUAUAUCAUAUUUUUUAAUAACAUUCUUUAAAUGCUUUUUUUUUUCAUAUUUCAUAUUUUAAAAUUUGUUACUUGAUUUUUUAUUAACUAAUUAGAUAUCAAUUUAAAAUUUAUUUAUUAAUAAUAUAAAUUAUUUUAGAUACUAAUAAAUUUUGUAGUCUUUAAAAUAAUAUAUAAUUUAGUGAACACAGUAACUAAUUACUUUUUAUCUUUAAAAUUAAUUUAUAUUUAAUUAUGUUUUUAGUAAAUGGAAUUUUUUCACUCGUGGAUCAUUAGACCAAGAGAUUUACCCGUUGGAAAACGAUUAUUUUGAAGUUCGUAAAUGAGACUCGAUUAGGUGGCUAGGGACUGUUUGAUGGUUUCCUCAGUAACAUUUUCAUUUUUAUAUUUUUGCAAGUGUUGGCAUGUAAGUUUACAAUGAGUGACUUUGGGUAGGCGUAUGUAAGUGUUGAUAAGUUUUUUCAAAGUUAAUGUCGAUUAGGAUUAUAUAACCGAACAUGGAUUGUCUACUUGUAAGAAUAAUUGACUUCUAGUCGAUCAAAAGAUAGUCAAUCACUUAAUUAGGUGACAGAUGAAGAUCUGCAAGCAGAGUUGGUUAAAGAGGAGUUAACUUUGAGUCUUAGGUACAAAUGGUAGAACCAAACAUGAAAAAAUAUUUUGCAAAGUAUAAAGUGGUCCUUUAUGUUUUAUGCUUUGCUUAUAGUGUAAUUUAUUAUUAUUUUUACUUUAAUUUACAAAUUUAAAGAAGUUUAUUUUUUACAUUUAAUUUUUUUAAAAAAAUUAUUUUAUAAAUUAUUUUCUAGAUGCAUUUAUAUACAAUAAAAUUUGUACUCACUUUCACUAAAUCUACAAUCUCACUUUCCACACUGUUUUUAUCUUUUUUUUUAUCUCGUCAUUUUCUUAAUCUAAACACAUUUUGUUUUGAUUGGGAGUGGAGAGAAAAACAAAAUGAUUAGAAAGAUAAUACAAAAUUAGUAUGUUUGGAUUAAAGAAAAUUAAAUAUAUUUGAAUAUAAAGUUUGUAGAUAUGAUUGAUUUUUUUUUUAAUUUUAAUAAUAUUAUAUUAUUUAUUUUACUAUAAUAAUUAAAAACGUAAAUAUGAAUAAAAAAUUAAUCAAUAUCAAUCAAUUAUGUUCAAGACAUAAUCGAUUAUGAAAGACAAAAACAUAAUUGAUUAUGAAUGAGAAUAUAAUUGAUUGUGACUACAAUUUGCAUAAAAAAGUAAAAAUAAAAAAAUGACUUCAAUUUACAUCACCGGUGCAGAAACACACAACGAGUGCGGCUAUUUUGAAUAUAUAAAUGUGGAUAUAUAGCUGCAUUUGAUCAACACGCACUUGUAAAUCGAAGAGAUACAAAUGCGGUUAUAUAUCCGCAUUUAUAAAUAUCAUUUAUAAGUGCGGCUAUUUCUUUUAGCCACAUUUGUAUAUGCUUCAGUAAAUAAAUAAUAAUAAUAAAUACGUUCAAAUGUAACCUAUAAUGUACAAAUUAUUUAUAAAUAAUAUAUAAAUUAUAAUACAUAAGAAAAUAAAUUCAAAAUAUUAAAGAAAAAUUCAAAAAACUUAAAACAGAACACUAACCUUAUGUAUGAACCAACAUUGGUGGUGAAGAGUGGCAGGAGAGUGCCAGCAAUGACGACGGCAACGGAAGCGGUGGCGGAGCAGCAAUGGAGAUGAGAAUGUCAAUGGAACAGUUCAACCACAAUGCAAGGAGAAAAAACAAAUAUAAGGAAAACGAAAAAAAUUUAUACGUAGUUAAGAUGUAGAGGAAGAAAGCAAUUCAAGAAACUCACAAUGGCACAAAUUAAUGAAGAUGCAGAAGAAGAGAAGAACUGCAAGCGUACGCGAGCGCAGGAACGGUGAAAACGAAAGGCAAAGUGGAAAAGAAAAUAUGAAAGUGGUGUGGUGCAAUUCAAAUUUUAGGGUAAAAAAUGAUUUACAAGUGCGACUAUUCAAAUAGCCAGCCGCAUUUGUAAAUUAAGCGCUUUGAUUUACAAGUGCGGCUAUACAAAUAGCCGCAUUUGUAAAUCAAAUUAAUUACAAAAAUGUCACCGCGUUUUUUACGGAUGUGUUUGAGCGCAAAACCGCACUUAAUAAAUAAUAUUCUUUUCAUCAUUUUGUACUAGUGCAUAAAUCUUUUUGUCAGAAAAUUUGUAUUUUUUCAAUUUUUAGUCCACACUACUUCUUUUUUUGUCGUUAGAUCCAAACACAGAAUAUAUUUUUCUUUAUCAAUUGUUCUCACAUUGAUGUUGCAUAAUUACACUCCUAUAAAUUUUUUUUAUGUAAUUUUCUACAUAAUUUCGUCUCACUCAAUCAAAAUGUUAUGGAUGAACAUUUAUUUAAAUUUCUAAGCAACUUGUCUCCCACACCUUUGAGGAUCAAUCAUAUAUUAAUGGACUAUUUUUUUUAUACAAUUUUCUCACUAAGCAUGUCUCUACACUCAAUUGGGUGCAACUUACACUCAAUUUUGAAAGAUUUUUUUAUUCAUUGAAUUAUAUGUAGAUAUGUAGAUAUUUUAAAGGAUAUUUUAUAAUGAAAAAUGUUAUAUGUAGAAUAAAUUGUACAAAAUUUAUUUAUAAAGAAGAGAAAAUAUAUAAACCAAAGUAUGAAAUAUCAUACGAUAUGAAGAAAAAAUAAUAGAAAUAAAAUGUAUUAUUAUAUAUAUUAUUACAUAAGUAAAAAUAAGGACAAAAGAGGAAAAUACUACCAUUCUAAAUGACUUUCUCCUCGAAUAUUUACAUAUAAGUAGAGGGAAAAAAAUCACUACCCAAUUCAAAUCAUAGAUAUCUCCUCACAUAAUUUUUGUAAACAAUAAAUUCUUAAAACAGACAUAUAAUAUGAAUGGAACUUCUUCUCUUAGUAUAUCUUCCUUUCCCAUGAGUCAACCUCCUCUUAUGUCAUUUUCCACAUUAACAUUAUGUACAAAUCUUAUAGAUAAAUUUCUAAGACGGUUUUCUAUGAGUAUGUUUCUCAUAAUUAACAAUGUGAUUGAAAUUACAAACUUAUAGUUAAUUGAAAUUCUGUUAUAAUUUUAUAUAUUAACACAUAUUCCUGACCAAUUUUCUCAUCUUUGUUUUGUUGUAUUCACGGUCCAGUUUUUCAUUUUCAUUCCAAUUUUAACUCUUGUAAAUUAAAUGAAUAGCAAAAUACAGUUUAUAACAAGUUUUUAUUAUGCUUUUCAAUUUUGUUAAAAAACUACCACCAUCAUACUUGUUCAUUCUAAUUUGUAUUAUUUUAAAAUAUAUUGAAUCUUUUUCACAUUAUACUUGAUAUCAAUUUUUUUUUAUUCUUUUCAAUUUUGCUAGAAAAAUACACUAUCAAGCAUUUCCCCAAUUUUACGUAAUUUCCAAAAUAAAAAAAUUACAACAAUUUAUUGUAGUAUUUAUUUUAUGUGAUAAUUUAUUAUUUCAUAUUAGACAGGUAAAGAUUCAUGCAAAAAUAAAAAAAAUGUCAAGUAAUAAAAAGGCAAAGUAUUUGGAACAUGGUUUCUAUUUUUUGCACAAUUAAUUUUGGAAUCAAUAAAAUAAAAAUUAUACAUUCUUAAUUCUUAUUAUUAUUAUAUAUUAUAAAUAAAACUUAAAAAAAAUACAUAAAAAAAUCAAAAAUAAAAUCUGAAUGCGGAAACAACAGGGUAAGGCAUGGUGUGAGUGUUAUAUUGCGACACUAUGGAGAACGACUGUUUCGAUGGUAAGUCCGGGUCCAAAACCAAACAAAACACCCCAUUCAAGUCCUUCACCUGUUGUUUUAAGUCCCUUUUCAGCUGAUUUCCUCCUCAUCUCAUCCAAGAUGAAUAGCACACAUGCACUUGACAUGUUCCCAUAAUCACUCAGCACAUCUCUUGUGGCCUUCAUCUUUUCAGGUUUCAGACCCAACUUUUGCUCAACUUGGUCCAAAAUUGCAGGUCCACCAGGGUGUGCGAUCCAGAAGAUGGAGUUGUAAUCAGAGAUGUUCAAUGGGUUGAAGGCCUCAAAAAGUGCCUUUCCAAUGUUCUUUGAGACAAUCCCAGGAACAUCCUUAAGGAGGUGAAACGUGAGUCCAACUUCACGAAGGUGGCCAUCAAUAGCACCAUCACUGUCUGGAGCAAUGGUCUGUGCAGUCCAAACCAACUCAAACAAAGGCUUCUCAAUCUGUGGAAUUGGGUCAGAACCAACAAUCACUGCAGCUGCUCCAUCUNNNNNNNNNNNNNNNNNNNNNNNNNNNNNNNNNNNNNNNNNNNNNNNNNNNNNNNNNNNNNNNNNNNNNNNNNNNNNNNNNNNNNNNNNNNNNNNNNNNNNNNNNNNNNNNNNNNNNNNNNNNNNNNNNNNNNNNNNNNNNNNNNNNNNNNNNNNNNNNNNNNNNNNNNNNNNNNNNNNNNNNNNNNNNNNNNNNNNNNNNNNNNNNNNNNNNNNNNNNNNNNNNNNNNNNNNNNNNNNNNNNNNNNNNNNNNNNNNNNNNNNNNNNNNNNNNNNNNNNNNNNNNNNNNNNNNNNNNNNNNNNNNNNNNNNNNNNNNNNNNNNNNNNNNNNNNNNNNNNNNNNNNNNUACCACCACUAUGUCUUGCCUCGCAUCCAAAGAAGGUGCCAUGUAAGCACACAUGUUAGGAUUCUCCUUCAGUAUCUCCUCGUUCAGGUGCAUAUAUCUCUUCUUUAUCAUCGACUUAUCACCUGAAACAUUGUAAACCAAUAUGAAUGUUAAUCACCUUCAUUCAACAUCAUAAACUUGUUAGAUUUCUGAUUUUGGUAGAUAUGAGAAGAUGAGAGGACUUACACAUGCGCUGGAACUUCUCUUUGAGGUCGGUCAUGUGCUCACUGUUUGUGAUUCUGAAGUAGUAAUCGGGAUAUGUGCUCUGAUCAACACAGUUUGAUGGGGUUGCAGUUCCAAUGGCAAGGAUGUUUGCUGGGCCUUCUGCCCUUUGAGCCUGGCGGAUCUCGGAUACACUCACCAUCUUAAUUUUCUUGAAUAGAAUCAAUGAAGUGGUGAUGUUGACGAUGGUUUAGAACACGGAAUGAAGCACUGCGAUUUGGUUGACAGAUGAAAGAAGUGACCAAGUUCACAGCACUUGAGAGAUAGAGAGGGUUAUUGGUUUGGUUGCUGAAGUUGUGUGUUUGAAGAUGUUGGAGGAGGCAGCGUUUUAUAUGCAUGGAAGAGUGGAUAGGAAGUAGGGUGGGUGAGUAUCACGUGGAAAAAGGAAAGCCAUCUUACGUUGAAAACAUAUUUAUCAGUUUGGUGGCAUGUUUUAGAAGACCAUCUCAGCCACCAUAUAGCUCAUUGGUUCUUUUAUUUUUAUAUUUAUCAACCAAUAAUUGGUAAUAUUUUAUGCAUCUCUACCCUAUUAAAUUAGGUCCUGACACAGUAAAAUCCAUGCACUUCAUAUACCAAUAAACUAAUAUUUUAAUCAUAUUUUAUUUAUUUUUUAAUUUAAAAUAUUAUUAUUUCUUUUUUGUGUGUUUGUGAUAUUUGAGUCAACCUUGGUACGCAGCAAGAAAAGUCAAACACUUGUGCUGGUAGAUAACAUCUUAAAUUACAUCAACGGCCACAAACAAAUGAAACUAAAAUCUGUAUGUUUUCUACUUGGUUACACUGGAGGUCAUGAUCAAGCAUCAAUAACUUUAUAAACCCAUAAAAAAGUGUGGCCACUGAAUAUUGUAACUUAUAUUUCAAAUAAAGAAGUUGUUUCUUUAACAGUCAAGGUUGAGGAGCUACCUACCCAUUUUCUACCAUUAAAGCAUUUGUAGUUUGCUUGAUGAUAUUCUCUUUAUAAUAUAAGUUUUAGAUAACAUUCUUGUAUAUUUGUUGCUCUUAUUGGAUAAUAAGAGUAUCACCUAAACAUCUCAAGUGCAGCAAUAUGCUUUUCAAAAGUAACUAGAGAGUAAAAAGAAAUCAUAUACCUAUAAUAUAUACAGGUUAAUAAUAUAUGUACAAUUAUUUUAAUUAUGUCCUUACUAAUUCAAAGCAAUAGCUUUUACUUAUUAUCUAUUAUUUAUUUAUAAUUUUUAUUUGUAUAUACACUUUUAAAUAAAGUAAUAAAAUUAAAAUUAUUACUACAAAAAAAAGGAGUUUUAAGGGAGGAUAUUUAGCAAACCUUAAUAUAACCUUAGGAAUUGAUUUAGGUAACGAAUGUUUUUUUUAACCAUAACUAAGUUUCAAAGGUUAUUAUAAAACCUCAGCAAAGUAACUAAGGUUUUUUUAAUCUUAUUUAAGUUUCAAAGAUUAUUCUAAAACCUCAGCAAAGUAAUUGAGAUUUUUUUAAUUUUCGUUACAUUUUAAAGGUUUAUUUUAAAACCUCAUCAAAAUAAAUGAGGUUUCUUAACAUUCGUUAAAUUUCAAAGGUUUAUUUUAAAAUCUCAACAAAAUAACGGAGUUUUUUUUUAACUUUCGGUAAAUUUCAAAGGUUUAUUCUAAAACCUCAGCAAAAUAACGAACAUUUUUUUAAACUUCGUUAAAUUUCAAAGGUUUAUUCUUAAACUUCAACAAAAUAACAGAAGUUUUUUUAACCUUUGUUAAAUUUCAAAAAUUUAUUGUAGAACCUCAAUAAAACACUCUAGAUUUUUCGAACUUUAAUAAAUAAAUAUAAUUAAAUCUAUUUAUAAAUAAAUAAUUAAAAAUUAUAUAGUUUUAAUAUAUUUUAUAACUAAAUUCUCUAAAAUUUUGAAAGUGUAACUUUACAUUACAAAUAAGUUUUAUAAAGUUUCAAAAAUUUAUUUUAAAAACUCAGCAAAAUAACCUUGGAUAAUAAGUAUUUCAACAACUAAUCUUGGAUAAUAAGUAUUUCAAUGGUAUUUGCAUAUUUCUUAUGGUUGAUAGUAGUUGGUUUAUAUAAUUCCUAGUUUUUUUUGUCAGAAGCUCAUACUUCAAAAAAAUCUGAUUUAUUUUGUUUUAGCUUUUGAUGUAUGUAUAUUUUAUGUGCAAUUUUAGUUGUAGUUAUAAUUGUUAAUAUUUAAUUUUCAUAAUUUUGAAAUAUUUUAAAUUAAGGUCUUUAUUUUGAAAUGCAUCUAAUAAUUAAUUCAUUGUGAAAGUGAGAAGUAAUAAAGUUAAUUUCUCCUUGCAACAUGUUCUAGCAAUCUUUAGCCAAGAACACACAUGGCUAUGAAGCCCACAUCUGACAGAUAAUGCAAUUAUUUAGGAUAUAUAAAGCAGUGAUAAACAAUACUUGUUGUCGAGUUAGGUAACAAUGGCUUGUGACCCAAGUUGGGGCAGUAAGUGUAAGGUGAUUGAAGAAUCAAUAUUGGAUUAAGAAGAAGAUAGUGCCUUAUCUAGUGUUUCUUCUACUUAGAUAUAAUAAACAUAAGUGUGGCUGAAUUAUAAUUCCUUGUUAGGACUGUUGUUGGCAGCCAUUGAGUUUGACAGAUAAUGCAAUUAUUUAGGAUAUAUAAAGCAGUGAUAAACACUACUUGUUGUCGAGUUAGGUAACAAUAGCUUGUGACCCAAGUUGGGGCAGUAAGUGUAAGGUGAUUGAAGAAUCAAUAUUGGAUUAAGAAGAAGAUAGUGCCUUAUCUAGUGUUUCUCUCCUUAGAUAUAAUAAACAUAAGUGUGGCUGAAUUAUAAUUCCUUGUUAGGACUUUUGUUGGCAGCCAUUGAGUCUGUGCCAGAGAUCAGAAGGAUCGUUAGAGAUGGUGGAAAAUGUGGUUGAAGGUUAUUUCAAAAUGACAAGUCAAUUUACAAAAUUUUUGAAACUCAUGGUAUUUUACGGAGGUUUUGAAACUCAUGGUAUUUAACGGAGGUUUCUUAAACCCAUUGCUAUAUAAUAGGGUUCUGAAUGACUUUUCUUGAGGUUUAAAAAAACUCCAGGUAACACGUUCUCCAGGGAUGGUUUAGCGGGAAACUACAACCCUGGGUAAUGGCUUUAUAGAGGUUUUAACCCUGGAUAAUGUAAAAAUAACCUCUGUUAAAACCAAUUUUUCUUGUAGUAUAUUGAUGAAAAAAAAUCAUUAACAAUUAAAAAAUUAUUUAGAAAUUAAACUUAUUUUGAAAGAAAUUAUUUUUUCAAAAUUAUAUUGGGGUGUAAUUUAUUUAAUCUUUUUUAAAAGAUUAAAUUUAUUUGUAUUAAUAUUUAUUAUGUAAUUUUAUUUGUAUUUUUGUAACAGUAAUGAAUAAAUAAAUAUAUUUGAUUGACAACAUCAUUUUUUCUUUGUUAGUAUAUCUUUAAACUAUAUUGAAUCUUGUAGGUAAUCUAGGAUCAUAUGUGUGGCACAUAAAACCAGUUUCAUAGUUUGACCAUAUUUCUUUUUGUCCUGUAUUCUUUGACUCUGUCAUGGUUUAAGGCAAAAUUAUGUAAUUCUGUUGGGUUUACUUUGUUGUUGCUUUCCAGAGUCUAGUGUUGGUUUAUGCAGCUUUUGUAUUAUGAGUCCUUGUAUUUUUUGGUAUGCAAUGACAUUUAUGCAGUGUUUGGUAUGUUUUGUAGUUGGAAAAGAUGUUUUAUGCUUUUAUGCAUGUAAUAGUAACAAGGUAGUUUGACAACCUUUAGAGUUGUAUACAACUCUUCUUGAUAUAAUGAAUAUUAGGAGUUGUAAUGUAAUUGUAUAAAAAUUGUGCAUUGUCAAUGACUGAAUGACAUAUGCAAAGGGAAAAUGAUAGGUUGACAACUCCAAGAAUUGUAUACAACCUUGAUGUGAUGGAUUUAGAAAUAAAUAUAUAUAAUAAAAGGUAAAUUUAUAAUUAAAUGAUAUAAAAAACAUUAAAAUAGUAGUAUUGAGAGUUGUAAUGUGGUUGUAUAAAAUUUUGUUGUUUUCAAUGUAUCAUUACCAUAUGCAAAAUGCCAAACUCUUGUAUCUGGGAAGGGUUCUUAUAACAUCUGUGGUGGUUACUAUCUCUCUCCAGAUGGUGUUUUGGGAUGAGCUAUGAUAUUUUGAUAACUCAUUUUUUUACACCUAUCCUACAACUCUUAAUACUAUAUUAUAAUCUUUUUUCCUGGGUGAACACUCAUCCGUUUGACCUGAAAUCUGUCGUGUUUUAUCCCAAACUCAGUGAAGAUUCUUACGCGGAAUUUCAGGAAAAAACCAUUUCGGGAGAAUUUUUCAGAAGUUUUGUGCAAACCAAGGCGAUCUAGCAAAACUUGUGAAAUUUCGCCCUACUUUCUGCAAUUUUUUUCCGCGUCCGUAUUGCGCUGAAAAAAUUCACACAAGUACUUUCAUAUGUUGUUUACAUCCAGGUAAGGAGGCACAUCCAUAAACAAAUCACAGAAAGAAGAUACGGGGAAGAAAAGCCAGGACGUUUUGUUUUUGGAAAACCGAUUUUGUUCACUCUCGGUCUGGGACUUACUGCGCCUUACUCCUUGGGUAUUUUGGUCUGAAAUUUUUACCAAACAUUCGUAAUUGUGUCUAUUGAGUUUUAGCUGAUAUUUGAGCCCCAGACUCGUCUCACAAGAUUCGCAAUAAAUUUUUUAUUCAUCACUGCCCGGGCUGAGAGGAUAGCCUUGGUUUGUGUGUAAAACUGUUUGAUUUUUUUCCUGGUUGAAUACUCAUCCGUUUGACCUAAAUUCUUGUCGCGUUUCGUCCCAAACUUAGUGGAGAUUCUUACGCGGAAUUUUAGGAAAAAACCAUUUCGGGAGAAUUUUUCAGAAGUGUUGUGCAAACCAAGACUAUACUUUAGCAAAACUUGUGAAAUUUCGCCCUACUUUCUGCAAUUUUUUUUCCGGAUCCGUAUUGCAUUGAAAAAAUUCACACAACUACUUUCGUAUGUUGUUUGCACCCAGGUAAGGAGGCACGUGCAUAAACAAAUCACAGAAAGAAGAUACGGGGAAGAAAAACCAGGACGUUUUGUUUUCGGAAAACCGGUGUUGUUCACUCUCGGUAUGGGACUUACUUCGCCUUACUCCUUGGGUAUUUCGGUAUGAAAUUUUUACCAGUCAUUCGUCAUUGUGUCUAUUGAGUGUUGGCUGAGAUUUGAGGGCCAGACUCGUCCCACAAGUUUCGCAAUAAAUUUUUUAUUCAUCACUGUCCGGGCUGAAAUGAAGGUUUGUUUGUGUGUGAACUGUUUCAUUUUUUUCCUUGGUGAAUACUCAUAUGUUUGACCUGAUAUCUGCCGUGUUUUGUCCCAAACUCAAUGGAGAUUCUUACGCGGAAUUUCAGGAGAAAACCAUUUCGAGAGAAUUUUUUAAAAGUUUUGUGCAAACCAAGGCUAUCCUCUAGCAAAACUUGUGAGAUUUCGCCCUAGUUUCUGCAAUUUUCUUCCGGGUCCGUAUUGCGUUGAAAAAAUUCACACAAGUACUUUCGUAUGUUGUUUGCACCCAGGUAAAGAGGCACUUCCAUAAACAAAUCACAGAAAGAAGAUACGGGGAAGAAAAGCCAGGACGUUUUGUUUUCGGAAAACCGAUUUUGUUCACUCUCUGUCUGGGACUUACUGCGCCUUACUCCUUGGGUAUUUGGGCCUGAAAUUUUUACCAGACAUUCGUCAUUGUGUUUAUUGAGUUUUGGCUGUGAUUUGAGCCCAGACUCGUCCCACAAGAUUUGCAAUAAAUUUUUUAUUCAUUACUGCCUGGGCUGAGAGGAAGGUUUGUUUGUGAGUGAAACUGUUUGAUUUUUUUCCUGUGUGAAUACUCAUCCGUUUGACCUAAAAUCUGUCGCCUUUUGUCCCAAACUCAGUGGAGAUUCUUACGCGGAAUUUCAGGAAAAAACCAUUUUGGAAGAAUUUUUCAUAAGUUUUGUGCAAACCAAGGCUAUCAUCUACAAAACUUGUGAAAUUUCGCCCUACUUUCUACAAUUUAUUUCUGGGUCCGUAUUGCGCUGAAAAAAUUCACAGAAGUAUUUUCGUAUGUUGUUUGCACCCAGGUAAGGAGACACAUCCAUAAUCAAAUAUCAGAAAGAAGAUACGGAGAAGAAAAGCCAUGACGUUUUGUUUUCGGAGAACCGGUUUUGUUCACUCUUGGUCUGGGAAUUACUGCACCUUACUCCUUGGAUAUUAUGGUCUGAAAUUUUUACCAGACAUUCGUCAUUAUGUCUAUUGAGUUUGGGCUGAGAUUUGAGCCCCAGACUCCUCCCACAAGAUUCGCAAUAAAUUUUUUAUUCAUCACUGCCCGGACUGAAAGGAAAGUUCGUUUGUGUGUGAAACUGUUUGAUUUUUUUCCUGGGUGAAUACUCAUCCGUUUGACCUGAAAUUUGUCACGUUUAUUCCCAAACUCAGUGGAGAUUCUUACGCAGAAUUUGAGGAAAAAACUAUUUCGGGAGAAUUUUUCAGAAGUUUUGUGCAAACCAAGGCUUACAAAACUUGUGAAAUUUUGCCCUACUUUCUGCAAUUUUUUUCCGGGUCCGUAUUGCGCUUAAAAACUUCACACAAGUACUUUCGUAUGUUGUUUGCACCCAGGUAAGGAGGCACGUCCAUAAAUAAAUCACAGAAAGAAGAUACGGGGAAGAAAAGCCAGGAAGUUUUGUUUUCGGAAAACCGGUUUUGUUCACUCUCGGUCUGGGACUUACUGCACCUUACUCCUUGGGAAUUUUGGUCUAAAAUUUUUACCAGACAUUCAUCAUUGUGUCUAUUGAGUUUUGGCUGAGAUUUGAGCCCCAGACUCGUCUCACAAGAUUCGCAAUAAAUUUUUUAUUCAUCACUACCCGGACUGAAAGGAAAGUUCGUUUGUGUGUGAAACUGUUUGAUUUUUUUCCUGGGUGAAUACUCAUCCGUUUGACCUGAAAUUUGUCACGUUUAUUCCCAAAAUCAGUGGAGAUUCUUACGCGGAUUUUUAGGAAAAAACCAUUUCAUGAAUAUUUUUCAGUUUUGUGCAAACCAAGGCUAUCAUAAACUUGUAUAAGGGUGUGUUUUUGGGUGUGUUUUUGUUAUAGGUGUUUGGUAGGUCCAUGUUCUUAUGGAUUUUGUCUUUUUGGGUUUUCAUGACAAUUCUUUAUUCGAUUGUGUUUUGGGGAGCUUUGUGAAUGUUUUUAUUUAAAAUGUUAGAAUAUCUUUUAAAUACUUUUUUUUAAUAAAAAAAAGAUUUGAAACAUUUAAAUAAUGAUUCAAGCUCUAUACAAAAGAGUUAACUAAGGUAGUAUAUUCUAAAAAAAUAAACUUAAAGAUCAUGUUGCCACCGAAAAAGAUAUAGGACUCACAACUAGUUACAACCAAGGUCUCUUAGAAAAACACAAAAAUUAUCCCAAAUUUAAUUACUAUAAAAGAUGAAUAAAAUUAAAAUAAUAUAAAGAAAUAAUAAAAUAAUUAACACCAUCUAAUAAACCAAAUAAGUGCAAGGUUUGAAAUAAAAACUGAAUUUAGUUAAUAAAAUUCAAUAAAUACAAGAUGUGAAAUAAAAACUGAAUUAAGUUAAUAAAACUCAAUAAUGAUUAUUAUAAAUAAGUGAUUUGUUUAAUAUGAUAAAAGUAAAAGUCCGUUAGUUAAUAAAAUCAAAUAAUGAACAUUAUAAAUCAUAAAUAGGUGAUGUGUUUUUGUAUUUUUUAACAUUAAUUAAAUAAACUUUUAUUAUCAGAACACUUUGCACGUAUAUCUCACGUAUAUCUCCCCAAUCCAAAGAAAUCCAACAGUCAAGAGUAAACCCAAAACCUACUUACUUAGGUACAGUAAGAACACAAGUAAUUUCUGAAUCAAUAAAAUUGCAAUUUUUUUAUUAUAUUAUAACUAUUCUUUUCUGUAUUAUAAAUACAAUUAUUAAUUUAAUAAAAAAGUUAAAAAUAAAAUCUGAAUGCGGAAACAAUAGGGUAGGCCAUGGUGACUUUUAUAUUGAGACACUGUGGAGAACAACAGUCUCAAUGGUAAGUCCAGGUCCAAAACCAAACAAGACACCCCAUUCAAGUCCUUCACCUGUCGUUUUAAGUCCAUUUUCAGCUGAUUUCCUCCUCAUUUCAUCCAAGAUGAAUAGCACACAUGCACUUGACAUGUUCCCAUAAUCACUCAGCACAUCUCUAGUGGCCUUCAUCUUUUCAGGUUUCAGAUCCAACUUUUGCUCAACUUGGUCCAGAAUUGCAGGUCCACCAGGGUGUGCAAUCCAGAAGAUGGAGUUGUAAUCAGAGAUGUUCAAUGGGUUGAAGGCCUCAAAAAGUGCCUUUCCAAUGUUCUUUGAGACAAUCCCAGGAACAUCCUUAAGGAGGUGAAACGUGAGUCCAACUUCACGAAGGUGGCCAUCAAUAGCACCAUCACUGUCUGGAGCAAUGGUCUGUGCAGUCCAAACCAACUCAAACAAAGGCUUCUCAAUCUGUGGAACAGGAUCAGAACCAACAAUCACUGCAGCUGCUCCAUCUCCAAACAAUGCCUGUCCCACAAGACUGUCUAGGUGGGUGUCACUUGGCCCACGGAAGGUGACUGCAGUGAUCUCAGAACACACCACAAGCACACGGGCACCCUUGUUGUUCUCAGCCAAAUCCUUGGCCAAUCGAAGAACCGUGCCUCCUGCAAAGCAUCCUUGUUGGUACAUCAUGUNNNNNNNNNNNNNNNNNNNNNNNNNNNNNNNNNNNNNNNNNNNNNNNNNNNNNNNNNNNNNNNNNNNNNNNNNNNNNNNNNNNNNNNNNNNNNNNNNNNNGUUUGGUGAGCUGGUAAUCAGCACCAGGCAUGUCCACGCCACUGGUGGUGCAAAAUAUCAAGUGUGUAAUCUUUGACUUUGGCUGCCCCCACUCCUUUAUGGCCUUCACUGCAGCCUCUUUCCCUAGCUUUGGUACUUCUACCACCACUAUGUCUUGCCUCGCAUCCAAAGAAGGUGCCAUGUAAGCACACAUGUUAGGAUUCUCCUUCAGUAUCUCCUCGUUCAGGUGCAUAUAUCUCUUCUUUAUCAUCGACUUAUCACCUGAAACAUUGUAAACCAAUAUGAAUGUUAAUCAUCUUCAUUCAACAUCGUAAACUUGUUAAAUUUAGGAUUUUGGUAGAUAUGAGAAGAUGAGAGGACUUACACAUGCGCUGGAACUUCUCUUUGAGGUCGGUCAUGUGCUCACUGUUUGUGAUUCUGAAGUAGUAAUCGGGAUACGUGCUCUGAUCAACACAGUUAGAUGGGGUUGCAGUUCCAAUGGCAAGGAUGGUUGCUGGGCCUUCUGCCCUUUGAGCCUGGCGGAUCUCGGAUACACUCACCAUCUUAGUUUUCUUGAAUAGAACCAAUGAAGUGGUGAUGUUGACGAUGGUUUAGAACACUGCGACUUGGUUUACAGAUGAAAGAAGUGGCCAAGUUCACAGGACCUGAGAGGGUUGUUGGUUUGGUUGCUGAAGUUGUGUGUUUGAAGAUGUUGGAGGAGUUAGCGUUUUAUAUGCAUGGAAGAGUGGAUAGGAAGGUGGAUGGGUGAGUAUCACGUGCAAAAUGGAAAGCCAUCUCAAGUUGAAAACAAUUUUUAUCAACAAAAAUAAAAUUAAAUUAAAGAGACACUUUAGUAAUGUCCAAACCUUGUAGAAGCUACAUAAAAUUCUACACACGCUAAAAUUCUACACACGCCAGUAUUAAAGAGCUAAAACAGAAAACAGAUUCAAGGUUCCUACAUAAAUUACAGCAGAGAUGCCAAACAAUAUAUUCCAACCUAACAACAGGGUGAUUCUUCCUAUGAUUUCCAUCCUUCAACUCAUUACUCCACCUAAGAAGAAAUCACCUUCACACUUGUGGGCCAUAGUUGUAAAUCCCUAACACAAGCCCAUCCCAUUCUCCUUUAGAAAAUAUGAUGUUGUAAAACUCCACUAACACCUUCUUGAAGCGGUCCAGAUAGACAUUACCUCACUUCUUAAGUUUUUGCAGCUUUAGCAUACUACUUUGGCUCAUGCUAAGGUUUACACCUCAAAAGCUAAACACCAGAACUUAAAAGGCAUGCAUAGAGCACCGCUAAUGCUUCUUUGUAACAAGAGAGGAUGCCUACAAAACCUAACACUGCCUUCAUAUUGGAACCUGACACUGAUAUUUUAUGCAUCUCUACCCUAUUAAAUUAGUCUAUCACAGCUAUUUGCUUGGUUCUUUUUGUGUGUUUGUGAUGUUUGAGUCAACCCUGGUAGCGCAGCAAGAAAAGUAUAUAGCUCUUGUGGUGGUAGGUAGCAUCUUAAAUUUCAUCAACGGCCACAAACAAAUGAAACUAAAAUCUAUGUGUAGAGUUGCGCCAUGUCAUGGGUAUGACUUUCCAGUGUUUUGGAUGGCACACCACUUCCUCUUCCUAUAUUUGACUCUAUGUUUUCUACUUGGUUACAUUGCAGGUCAUGGUCAAGCAUUAAUGAGCUUUAUAAACCCAUAAAAAAGUGUGGCCACUGAAUAUUGUAACUUAUAUUUCAAAUAAAGAAGUUGAUUCUUUAACAGUCAAGGUUGAGGAGCUACCUACCCAUUUUCUACCAUUAAAGCAUUUGUAGUUUGCUUGAUGAUCUUCUAUUUAUAAUAUAAGUUUUAGAUAACAUUCUUGUAUAUUUGUUGAUCUUAAACAUCUCAGGUGCAUUUUAUCUAAAUGAAUAAGAAAUAUGCUUUUCAAAAGUAACUAGAGUAAAAAGAAAUCAUAUACCUAUAAUACAUACACCUUAAUAAUAUGUACAAUUAUUUUAAUUAUGUCCUUACUAACUCAAAGCAAUAGCAUUUACUUGUUAUCUAUUAUUUAUUUAUAAUUUUUAUUUGGAUAUACAGUUUUAAAUAAAGUAAUAAAAUUAAAAUUAUCACUAAAAAAAAAAGUUUUAAGAGAGAGGAUAUUUAACUAACCUUAAUAUAAUCCUAGGAAUUGAUUGAAUUAAUGAAGGUUUUUUUAAUCAUGGUUAGUUUCAAAAAUUAUUCUAAAUCCUCAGCAAAGUAAUGAAAGUGUUUUUUAAUCUUGGUUAAGUUUCAAAGAUUAUUCUAAAACUUCAGCAAAGUAACGAAAGUUUUUUUAACUUUCGUUACAUUUCAAAGGUUUAUUUUAAAACCUUAGCAAAAUAAAGGAGGUUUCUUAACCUUCUUUAAAUUUCAAAGGUUUAUUCUAAAACCUCAAUAAAAUAACGAAUGUUUUUUUAACCUUCGUUAAAUUUCAAAAAUUUAUUGUAAAACCUCAAUAAAACACUCUAGAUUUUUCAAACUUUAAUAAAUAAAUAUAAUUAAAUCUAUUUAUAAAUAAAUAAUUAAAAAUGAUAUAGUUUUAAUAUAUUUUAUAACUAAAUUCUCUAAAUUUUCAAAAAUUUAUUUUAAAAACUUAGCAAAAUAACCUUGGUUAAUAAGUAUUUCAACAACUAAUCUUGGAUAAUAAGUAUUUCAACGGUAUUUGGAUAUUUCUUAUGGUUGAUAGUAGUUGGUUUAUAUAAUUGCUAGUUUUUUUUUGUUAUGAGCUCAUACUUCAAAAAAAUCUGACUUAUUUUAUUUUAGCUUUUGAUGAAUGUAUAUUUUAUGUGCAAUUUUAGUUGUAGUUAUAAUUGUUAAUAUUUAAUUUUCAUAAUUUUGAAAUAUUUUAAAUUAAGGUCUUUAAUUUAAAAUGCAUCUAAUAACUAAUUCAUUGUGAAAGUGAGAAGUAAUAAAGUUAAUUUCUCCUUGCAAUAUGCAAUAUGUUCUUGCAAUAUUUAAAGCCCACAUCUGACAUAUAAUGCAAUUAUUUAGGAUAUAUAAAGCAGUGAUAAACACUAAUUGUUGUCGAGUUAGGUUAUAAUGACUUGUGACCCAAGUUGGGGCAGUAAGUGUAAGGUGAUGGAAGAAUCAAUAUUGGAAUAAGAAGAAGAUAGUGCCUUAUCUAGUGUUUCUUGUCCUUAGAUAUAAUAGACAUAAGUGUGGCUGAAUUAUAAUUCCUUGUUAGGACUGUUGUUGACAACCAUUGAGUCUGUGCCAGAUAGCAGUGUGUAUACGGUAGAAGAGAGAAGUCAGAAGGAUCGUUAAAAAUGGUGGAAAAUGGGGUUGAAGGUUAUUUCAAAAUCACAAGUCAUUUUACAAUUUUUUUGAAACUCAUGGUAUUUUACAGAGGUUUUCAAAACUUGUGGUAUUUAAUGGAGGUUUUGAAACUCAUGGUAUUUAACGGAGGUUUUUAAACCCAUGGUAUUUUAUAGAGGUUCUUAAACCCAUUGGUAUUUAACAGGGUUCUGAAUGACUUUUCCUGAGUUUUAAAAAAACCCUGGGUAAUGGGUAACAUGUUUUCCAGGGAUGGUUUAGCGGAGGAACUACAACCCUAGAUAAUGGCUUAAUAAAGGUUUUAACCCUGGAUAAUGUAAAAAUAAACUCCUGGUAAAACCAAUAUAUUGAUGAAAAAAAUCAUUAACAAUUAAAAAAUUAUUUAGAAAUUAAACGUAUUUUGAAAGAAAUUAAUUUUUCAAAAUUAUGUUGGGGUGUAAUUUAUUUAAUAUUUUUUAAAAGAUUAAAUUUAUUUGUAUUAAUAUUUAUUAUGUAAUUGUAUUUGUAUUUUUGUAACAGUAAUGAAUAAAUAAAUAGAUUUGAUUGACAACGUCAUUUUUUCUUUGUUAGUAUAUCUUUAAACUGUAUUGAAUCUUGUAGGUAAUCUAGGAUUAUAUGUGUGGGACAUAAAACCAGUUUCAUAGUUUGACCAUAUUUCUUUUUGUCCUGUAUUUCUUUGACUCUGUCACGGUUUAAGGCAAGAUUAUGUAAUUCUGUUGGGUUUACUUUUGUUGUUGCUUUCCAGAGUCUAGUGUUGGUUUAUGUUGCCAGGCUUUUGUAUUAUGAGUCCUUGUAUAUUUUGGUAUGCAACGACAUUUAUGCAGUGUUUGGUCUGUUUUUUAGUUGGAAAAGGUGUUCUAUGCUUUUAUGCAGGUAAUAGGAUUAAAGCGUGUUUGGAAUCAUCGUCAGUGUUUGGUAUGUUUUUUAGUUGGAAAAGGUGUUCUAUGCUUUUAUGCAGGUAAUAGGAUUAAAGCGUGUUUGGAAUCAGCGUCAGUAUCAAUUCUUGUAAAUGGGAGUCCCACUAAGGAGUUUAUUCCAAAGAAGGGGUUGAAACAAGGCGAUCAUUUAACUCCGUUCUUGUUUCUGAUAGCGCCUGAAGGUCUAGCAGGAGUGUCUAGGACUACGGUUGAGAAAGAUCUGGUGGAAGGCUUGGAGAUUGGGAAAAAGAUGGUAAAGAUAAAUAUGCUCCAGUACGUUGAUGACACCUUGGUUUUUUGUAAGGCAAAUAUCAAAAGUAUUUUCAACAUAAAGGUUAUGCUGAACUGUUUUGAGUUGGCAUCCGGCCUUAAGGUGAAUUUUUUCAAGAGUAGACUUGGAGGAGUGGGGGUGGAUCAGAAGGAGGUUCUACGUUUCGCUACAAUCUUAAAUUGCGAGGUGACGAAAACUCCUUUUAAAUAUUUGGGGAUGCUAGUAGGGGGUGUCAUAAGAGGGGUGUGUUUUGGGAUGAAGUGGUCAAUAGAAUAAAAACCAGGUUAUGAAGGUGGAAGGGCAGAUACAUUUCAUUGGCAUGGAGGAUAUGUUUGAUUAAGUCGGUUCUUUCUUCAAUACCUUUGUUCUAUCUUUCGAUUUUCAAGGUACCAUCUACGGUGUUGAAGAAAAUUGUGUGCAUACAGAGAAAUUUUUUGUGGGGUUGGGGGUCAGAAGGGCGGAAGAUAGCUUGGGUUGCUUGGGACAAGGUCUGUAAAUCCAGGGAAGCGGAUGGACUCGGUAUUUUAAAUGUGAGGAGAUUUAAUUUGGCUUUGUUGGGAAAGUGGAUUUGGCGUUUGAAUUCGGACAAGGGGGAUUGUGGAGGGAGGUCAUCGAUUCUAAAUAUGGAGGAUGGAGAGGUCUAAAGGAGCAGCAAACAAAUAAUAGCAAGGUUUCCUUGUGGUGGAAUGAUUUGACAAAGGUCUGGAGGUCCGAAGAAUGGGGAGGGAAGUUCGAAGACUGUUGGAAAUGGGAGGUAGGAAACAGAAGAAAUGUCUCGUUUUGGUCAGAUAGUUGGGUGAUCUCCGGAGAUCUAAAAAGUAGAUUUUCGAGGCUAUUCUCUUUGUCUGAAUCUAAGGAGGCAAAUCUAUGUGACUGCGGGAUAUGGGUCAACGGGGUCUGGGAGUGGAAAUUAAGGUGGAGGAGAAUUUUCUUUACUUGGGAGGAGGAACAAGCACGUCAGCUUCUAGAGAAGAUUUCCAACAAGCGACUCAAGUUGGAAAUAGGGGACAAAUGGGUUUGGAAAGAUAGUGAGACAGAAGGGUAUUCAGUUAAGUCAGCUUACGAAAUUUUAAGGGGUGAGAGAGGCGAGGAAGACUCAAGAUUGUACAAGUUUUUCUGGAAGAUUAAGGCGCUUCCUUCGGCUCACGUAACAACUUGGAGGGUGAUUGAAAAUAGAGUUGCUUCUAAGGUAAAUUUGGAGAGACGAGGGAUAGGGGUCAAGAGCAAUCUUUGCAUUUUUUGUAGAACGUCAGAGGAGUCAACGGAACAUCUGUGUUUUGGAUGUAGAGUCGUUUGGCUAGUUUGGAAUCUUUGCUAUGACUAGUUAGGAGUGAGCUCAGUCGACCUUAUGGACCCGGGACAACAUUUCAAACAGUUCAAAAUUUUGGAUGCGUCUUGUUCAGUCAAUCUUAUUAUGGGUAAUAUCUGGAUAGCAUUGGUUAGCGAGAUUUGGAGAUACAGGAAUAACUGCUUAUUUAAAGGUGGAGUGGUUGAUCACACAGAGGUUUUUUCAUUGGCACAGGUUAAGGUCUGGUCUUGGAUCUCAUCGAAGAUACGGUCAGUGAGUUUCUCGUUCUAUGAUUGGUGUCUAGAGCCCUUGGUAUGUAUGAAUUUUAUCUAAAGUCUCUAAGGGAUGAUCCUUGAUUUUUCUAUUUGUAGUGACAGGGUUGGUGUAAUUGGGAAAGGUAUGUUUUGAACUUUUUGUUUUCUGUAUAAGGGUUGUACCACCCCUGAAGUGGUCCUUUAAUUUUAUUGCUUCUUGCCGAUAAAAAAAAGAGUAUAACAAGGUAGUUUGACAACCUUUAGAGUUGUAUACAACUCUUGAUAUAAUGGAUAUUAGGAGUUGUAAUGUAAUUGUAUAAAAAUUGUGGAUUAUCAAUGACUGAAUGACAUAUGCAAAGUGCCAAACACUUGUAUCUGGGAUGGGUUCUUCUUCUGCAACAGAUGUAUAACAUGUGUGGUGGUUACUACCUCUCUCCAGAGGGUGUUUUGGGAUGAGCUAUGAUAUUUUGAUAACUCAUUUUUUUUACACAUAUCCUACAACUCAUUUGUUUGGUGUUUUAAACAUUUGAUUGGUAGAUUCAGUGUGCCAUUUUCUGGAAGAUACUUAUAAGUUUGUAUAAGGGUUCUUUUUUGUUAUAGGUUGUGGGUAGGUCCAUGUUCUUAAGGAUUGUUUUUUUGGGUUUUCAUGACAAUUCUUUAUUAGAUUGUGCUUUGGGGAGCUUUUUGAAUGAUUUUUAUGAAGGGUUAGGAUGUCUCUUAAAUACCUCUUUUUAUUCAUUUUAUUCUUUGUUAAUGAAAAAAGAAUUGAAACAUUUAAAGAAUGUUUCAACCUCUAUAAGAGUUAGCUAAGGUAGUAAUUUCUAAAAGAAUAAGCUUAAAGAUCAUCUCGCCAUCGAAAAGAUAUACAUCUCACACUAACCAAAGUCUCUCAGAAAAACACAAAAAUUGUCCCAAGUUCAAUUACAAUUGAGUAUGGUAAAUGAUCCUUACCACUUAUAAAAAUCCUUCUAUCGCACAAAAUAUUUGGCACAUGCUUUCUUAAACAAGUUGUACUGACUAGGUUAAAAAACCGUUAGAAUAUUAAAAGAUGAAUAAAGUUAGAAUAAUAUAAAGAAAUAAUAAAAUAGUUAACAUUGUAUCAAUGCCCAAUGAAUAAGCCAAAAACACUAAAAAUACAUUUAGUAAGUGCAAGGUGUGAAAUAAAAACUGAAUUAAGUUAAUAAAACUCAAUAAUGAUCACUAUAAAUAGGUGAUUUGUUUAACCGGAUAAAAGUAAAAGCCUAAUUAAGUUAAUAAAGUCAAUUAAUGAGCACCAUAAAUAUGUGAUAGGUUUUUUACAUUAAUUAAGCAAGUUGAUUAUGAUUUUAUCAUCGGAAGGUACACCUACCAAAUCGAAAGUGAGCUCAAAUCCAUCAGGCAAGAGUAAGACCAAAACCAACCAAGAGAGAAUCCAUGUCUAGUAGGUAUGGUAACUGAAAGUGAGUCCAAGUCCAUAUGACCAAAAGAUAGUUCAAGUUAACUUAUCCAAUAACCAGAAGUCCAAGUUGUUAACGAGAGACCGGAAAAUCGGGAGGAGGAAAAAAAGAAAACUUAGAUAAGAACACAAGUAAUUUUCGAAUCAAUAAAAUUGCAAAUUAUUAUUUUGUAAUAUUAUAACUCUUAUUUUCUGUAUUAUAAAUACAAUUAUUAAUCUGAUAAAAAAGUCAAAAAUAAAAUCUCAAUGCGGAAACAAUAGGGUAGAGCAUGGUGUGGGUGUUAUACUGCGACACUGUGGAGAACAACGGUCUCAAUGGUAAGUCCAGGUCCAAAACCAAACAAAACACCCCAUUCAAGUCCUUCACCUGUCGUUUUAAGUCCAUUUUCAACUGAUUUCCUCCUCAUCUCAUCCAAGAUGAAUAGCACACAUGCACUUGACAUGUUCCCAUAAUCACUCAGCACAUCUCUAGUGGCCUUCAUCUUUUCAGGUUUCAGACCCAACUUUUGCUCAACUUGGUCCAGAAUUGCAGGUCCACCAGGGUGUGCAAUCCAGAAGAUGGAGUUGUAAUCAGAUAUGUUCAAUGGGUUGAAGGCCUCAAAAAGUGCCUUUCCAAUGUUCUUUGAGACAAUCCCAGGAACAUCCUUAAGGAGGUGAAACGUGAGUCCAACUUCACGAAGGUGACCAUCAAUAGCACCAUCACUGUCUGGAGCAAUGGUCUGUGCAGUCCAAACCAACUCAAACAAAGGCUUCUCAAUCUGUGGAAUUGGGUCAGAACCAACAAUCACUGCAGNNNNNNNNNNNNNNNNNNNNNNNNNNNNNNNNNNNNNNNNNNNNNNNNNNNNNNNNNNNNNNNNNNNNNNNNNNNNNNNNNNNNNNNNNNNNNNNNNNNNAGACUGUCUAGGUGGGUGUCACUUGGCCCACGGAAAGUCACUGCAGUGAUCUCAGAACACACCACAAGCACACGGGCACCCUUGUUGUUCUCAGCCAAAUCCUUGGCCAUUCGAAGAACCGUGCCUCCUGCAAAGCAUCCUUGUUGGUACAUCAUGUACCUCUUCACAUAGGGCCGAAGUCCCAAGAGUUUGGUGAGCUGGUAAUCAGCACCAGGCAUGUCCACACCACUGGUGGUGCAAAAUAUCAAGUGUGUAAUCUUUGACUUUGGCUGUCCCCACUCCUUUAUGGCCUUGACUGCAGCUUCUUUCCCUAGCUUUGGUACCUCUACCACCACUAUGUCUUGCCUCGCAUCCAAAGAAGGUGCCAUGUAAGCACACAUGUUAGGAUUCUCCUUCAGUAUCUCCUCGUUCAGGUGCAUAUAUCUCUUCUUUAUCAUCGACUUAUCACCUGAAACAUUGUAAACCAAUAUGAAUGUUAAUCACCUUCAUUCAACAUCAUAAACUUGUUAGAUUUCUGAUUUUGGUAGAUAUGAGAAGAUGAGAGGACUUACACAUGCGCUGGAACUUCUCUUUGAGGUCGGUCAUGUGCUCACUGUUUGUGAUUCUGAAGUAGUAAUCGGGAUAUGUGCUCUGAUCAACACAGUUAGAUGGGGUUGCAGUUCCAAUGGCAAGGAUGGUUGCUGGGCCUUCUGCCCUUUGAGCCUGGCGGAUCUCGGAUACACUCACCAUCUUAGUUUUCUUGAAUAGAAGUAAUGAAGUGGUGAUGUUGACAAUGGUUUAGAACACGGAAUGAAGCACUGCGAUUUGGUUGACAGAUGAAAGAAGUGACCAAGUUCACAGCACUUGAGUGGUAGAGAGGGUUCUUGGUUUGGUUGCUGAAGUUUGUGUGUUUGAAGAUGUUGGAGGAGUUAGCGUUUUAUAUGCACGGAAGAGUGGAUAGGAAGUAGGGUGGGUGAGUAUCACGUGCAAAAAGGAAAGCCAUCUUAGUUGAAAUCAUUUUUAUCGGUUUGGUGGCAUGUUAUAGAAGACCAUCUCAGCCACCAUAUAACUCAUUGGUCAUUGGUGAUAUUUUAUGCAUCUCUACCCUAUUAAAUUAGUCUAUCACAGCUAUUUGGUUGGAUCUUUUUGUGUGUUUGUGAUGUUUGAGUCAACCUUGGUAGCGCAGCAAGAAAAGUAUAGCUCUUGUGGUGGUAUGUAGCAUCUUAAAUUACAUCAACGGCCACAAACAAAUGAAACUAAAAUCUAUGUGUAGAUUUGUGCCAUGUCAUGGGGUAUGACUAUCCAGUUUUUUGAUGGCACACCACUUCCUCUUCCUAUAUUUGACUCUAUGUUUUCUACUUGGUUACACUGGAGGUCAUGGUCAAGCAUCAAUGAGCAUUAUAAACCCAUAAAAAAGUGUGGCAACUGAAUAUUGUAACUUAUAUUUCAAAUAAAGAAGUUGAUUCUUUAACAGUCAAGGUUGAGGAGCUACCUACCCAUUUUCUACCAUUAAAGCAUUUGUAAUUUGCUUGAUGAUCUUCUCUUUAUAAUAUAAGUUUUAGAUAUCAUUCUUGUAUAUUGUUGAUCUUACUGGAUAAUAAGAGUAUCGCCUAAACAUCUCAAGUGAAAAAAAAUUGUAGAUAUUUUUUUCUCCUUAUCUCAUGGAUAGUGGGGACAAAUGUUGUAGUGAUGAGAGUAUUAUUGAACAAAUUUAAAAUAAAAUUUUACAUAUAUUGUCAUUGAAAAAUGUUAUAUAAUUACCAUCACAAAUUCAUUAUAAAAUAUUCAUCGUGAAAAGUUAAUUAAUUGUGCGUACGUUUCAUUAGAACUAGGUGUUACACUAUAUUUUUAUGAUUAUUAAAAAAAUAAAUUCAUGAAAGUAUUUUUAAGGGAUAUUACAACUCUAAGAAAUUACCAAAGGAUAUCUAUCAAAAUAUCUAAUCCCAAUUCAUAUACUCACAUCCAAAUCCACCUGAUGCAAAUAAACAUUUGCCCAAAAAUUAAACAGUUUCAAGAAAGACUACCAUAAACAAAAUAUAAAAUCUGCCAAAGCUGAAUAAAAAAAGGUGUAUCCCCAAAGUAAAAAUAAAUGAGAACAUCUGAUACAUUUAUUGGGAAUUUCUCUGAAAUCACAUUAUUGAUUUGAGCAACUACUACAAUAAUUAGGUCUAAUAUUAUGCAGUAGGACAUUGUAUUUUAUGCAAUAGACACAUAAUUUCUUCGCUCGUUCCUUAGAAUAUAUGUAUAUAUAUAUAUAAGAUAUUUUUUUAUUAAAGUAUGUUCCUAUACUGGUGUGAAUUUUGAUCUGAAAUUUAUGAACACCCUUAUUAUAUAUAUCCACUCAGGUUCAAAACCUAGGAUGAUUCGAAUGACUCAUACUUUUCCUAACUGUCGUCCCUUUUUAUUUUAUACACCCCAGCUUUUAAUUUCUUGUAAAUGUAUAUAUAUAAUAAAUAUUUUAAACAAAAUUAUUUGUUAAAAAUAAAACUAUAUCUAGUACUAAAUUUUUUAUGAGAAUUUAGUUAUUUUGAAAAUUCUAAAAUUAUUAUUAAUUAGUACAAAUUUUUUUCAGAACCCCUCUCUUAUAUAUUCCCACUCCCAGAAAUUUACUAUUUCACUGUAUUCUUCAUAUAUCUACACCAUAUUUCGUAAAACUUGGGCCCAUUCAUCUUGCCCAUAAUUUUUCCUAUCUGCAUCUUAUUAUACAUGCAGUCAGUUGACUAUUUCUUCCUGCACCUCCAUAUCUUCUUCUGCCACCUCCAUACGCAACAUAAAAAUACAUUUUUGUCCUUCUUGUGUCACCCCCAUGUUUCCAGAUUAUGUAAGUCGAAAACUCAUUUGAAAAAAGAAUUCCGGAUUACAUAAUCCAGAAGUUAAAUAAGACUUCGGGAUUAUGUGAUCCGGAGAAUAAUCAUGCAUAUGAAAAAUGGCUUCCAGAUUAUGUAAUCCAGUAGCUAAUUACAAAUUUGAAAAAUGACUUCCGAAUUACGUAAUUUGGAAUAUUAUAAAAGGGCAUUUUUGGAAAUUUGAAAACUUGUGGAGGUGAGAGAAGAAGGUAUGGAGGUGCAGGAAGAAACAGUCCAGUCAGUUUAAAAUCUGGGUUGAUUAAACUGGCCCUUCAAAUUUUCUAUCUGCCACCACUAUUUCUUUUAUACACCAACCAGCUUUUAAUUUCUUUAUAUAUAUAUUAUAAAUAUUUCAAACAAUAUAAUUUGUUAAAAAAAAACUAUAUCAAGUUCUAAAUUUUAAUGAGAAUUUAUAUAUUUUAACAAAUCUAAAUUAUUACUAAUAAGGCUUCGGCCAUUCAACUAGCCCGUGAUUUUUCCGAUCUGCAACACCCUUAUUGUGGAUGCACUCAGUUUUAAAACCUGGGCUGAUUCAUUUGGGCCAUCAAUUCUCCUAUCUGCCACGCCUAUUAUUUUCUACACCACCAGCUUUUAAUAUGUUUUUUAAAAAUAUAUAUAAUAAAUAUUUAAAACAAAAUAAUUUGUUAAAAUAAAAAAUAAAUUAAGUACUAAAUUUUUAUACAAAAAUAAAUUAUUUUAACUUAAAUUAUUACUAAACAGUACAAAUACUUUUCAAACCCUCUCUCUUUGAUAUUCCCACCCAAACACUUUUUUAUUUGGACCAUAUACUUCAUAUAUCUGAAUCAUGUUUGUUAACAUUGGGCCUGUUCAAUUGGGCCACAUGUUUGCAUAUUUUCCCCACCGUUAUUAUAUAUCCACUUUGUUUUGAAACUCGGGCUGAUUCAACUGGCCCAUCACUUUUCUUAUCUCCCACCCCUGUUUAUUUUAUAAACCCAUUAGCUUUUAAUUUCUUAUAUAUAUAUAUAUUAAACAAAAUAAUAUGUUACAAAAAAAACUAUAUCCAGUACUAAAUUGUUAAUGAGAAUUUAUUUAUUUUGAAAAUCUAAAAUUGUUACUAAUCAGUACAAAUACUUUUCAGACCCUCUCUUUCAUAUGUCCACCUCCAAUACUUUGCUAUCUGCAUCGUAUAUUUCAUAUAUCUACACCGGGUUUUGUCAAGCUGCGGCCCAUUCAACUAGCCCAUGUUGUUUCUAUCUGCACCACCCUUAUUAUCUCAGAUUUAAGACCUGAGUUGAUUGCACUCGCCCAUCUCUUUUCUUAUCUGCCUCCGCUGUUUAUUUUGUACCCACCAGCUAUAAUUUCUUUUAAAAAUAUUUAUAUAGAAUAAAUAUUUUUUUGUAAUAAUUUGUUAAAAAAUAACUAUAUCCAGUAGUAAAUUUUUAAUGAGAAUUUAAUUAUCUUGAAAAAUCUAAAAUUAUUACUAGUACAAAUACUUUUCACACCCUCUCUCUUUGAUAUUCCCAUUUCCGGCCCAUUACUAUUUGCACCAUAUACUUCAUAUAUCUGCCCAUGUUUUGUUAUGCUUGGGCCCAUUCACCUGGCCGACGAUAUUUCGUAUUUGCACCACCCUCAGUAUGUAUGCACUUAGUUUUAAAACUUGGGUCAAUUGGGCCAUCUUUUCCUAUAUUCCACACCUAUUUAUUUUAUACACUCACCAGCUUUUAAUUUCUUACAUAUAUGUAUAAUAAAUAUUUUAAAUAAAAUAAUUUGUUUAAAAAAACUAUAUCCAGUAAUAAGUUUUUAAUGAAAAUUUAAUUAUUUGGAAAAAUCUAAAUUAUUACUACAUCUUACCUCGCAUCCAAAAAAGUAUCAUCAAGCACAAAUGUUAGGAUUCUGCUUCAGUAUCUCAUCGUUCAGUUGCAUAUAUCUCUUCUUUAUUAUCGAUUUGUCACCUGAAACAUUGUAAACCAAUAUGAAUGUUAAUCACAUUCGUUCAACAACAUAAACUUCUUAAAUUUUGGAUUUUGAUAGAAUGAAAAUUUAAGAGGUUUCUUUUGUUUAAUGAAGAUGAUUAAGAUUGAUAUUGGUUUACAAUGUUUCAGGUUACAAUUUCAAUGAUAAAGAAGAGAUAUAUGCACCGGAACGAGGAGAAAAUGAAGCCACCACAAGCAAACACUACCAAUAGAAAAUGAAGAAAAAAAUAUCACACUCUCCAUCAUAUUUAGAAGGAUAUUUUUGGAAUUAAAAAAAUAUGGAGGUGUAAAAAGUACUGGGAGAAUAUGUGAUAAAAAAAAUAUGAUUUUUUUAUCAAAUAAAAUAAUCAAGCAAUAAAAAAAACUAAUACAAAAGGAAAUCUUUGUCAGAAGAAAAUGAUUUUUUUUUUCUCAAACAUGAAAAACCCAGCCAUUUAUGGUCUCAACCUUCUAUUGGAAGUCUGCAUUGUCUUACUUAAGAAAACGUAAUACGACGCACAAAUGUUUAAGGAUUCUUCUGACUAUGUCUUAUGUAUUAACUUUUUUAAUUAUGCAUUAAUCCAUGCUGCAAUGCACUGCACAUUGCAAUAUUUUUUUUAAGUUUUAACCCAGAUUUCAUAUAUUAGUCCACGACUGUGAAUUAAUGUAUUGGUAGAUAAAUAAUUAUUUUUUAAAAUUACAUGCUCUUAAAAAAUUGAUUUUCAUUUUACUGUAGACACAUUUAAACGUGUCAAAGAAUGGAAAGUAAAACAAAAAAAAUACAUACAAAAGGUAACUCUAAAGAGUUUUUUCACAUUGUUUUUCUUAUUAUUCAUGUUGGUAUCUUGAUUCCCUCAUUUGUAUAUACUUUAUUAAAAAUAAUUGAUAUUCUAUAAAUUGAUCAGGUUUACGAUUUAUCUUUUAUGAGAUGUGUUCAUUUUUGUUGUUAUAAUGAGUGUUAGGUAUUCAAAAUAUAUUAAAAUUGUAGUGUUCCCGAUAUAGUUUAUAUUUAUUUAUUUAUUUUUCUAUAAAAGAAUAAACCAACAAUCUUCUCAAAAAUGAAUAAAUAUACUCAAAACAUAUCGAGAAACAAAAUAUUGUAUACAUACAAGUAAAAAUAAGUUUAUACCAUAUCAAUACUACAAAAUAACAAAUAAAUUUACGAGUUUUGAAAUAAAUAAAUUAGUCGAAACCAUGGUUUGAGAAGGAAAUAAAUAAAUAAAAUAUAAAUUUUAAUUUUAAAAUAAAGAUAGCAAUAUUUCCAAUUUUAAAAGAAAGAUAGCAAUAAUUUUAAUUUUAUGUAAACUUUUUGAAAUAUUGUACUUGAUUUAUCACUUAAUAUUAUAAAUGAAGACAUUAAAAAUAUAAGAACAUGCUAUUCUAUAAGAUUUUAUAAGGUAAUAAAUUUAAAAAUAAAAUGUUGUCACUAAUCUACAAUGUUUAAAGUAAGUAAAAUGUUUUAUGUGUAAGGAGUAAAAUCAUAUACAAUAUUGUGUGAUCUUGCAACAAUAUACUAAGUGCAUCUGCUUGCCUUUAAGUUGAAAACAGCUAACAGUUCGGGAUGACUUCCCUACUUUGUAACCGAGUCGUUACUUGUUAUUAAUGACUAUUAUAAUGAAACAGUCUAAUCAAUAAGCCUUAAAUGAUGAACGACUAUUUAUGAAAAAAUGUAUAACAGUUAUAUGACCAAGUCAAGGGACUCAUAACAGUUCAUUCAAAAGAUAACACUUGAUUAAUCUAUAAACAUCUAGUCUCCAAAAAAAUACAAUCUAUCUUAUAUGAUAGUAACAUUGAUACUAACAUACUUUUAAAUACUUACUAUAUUUGUGCUCCUACUUACUCAACUCGAUCCUCUUCGAAUUACACUUCCAAACUCAUUUCAAUAAGAACUGAGCAAUGGACAUUGAUGUUGCAUUAGAGAAUAAUUAUUGUAAAAUAUUUAAAUAGUUGUUUCUAACCUAUUUAAUAAAAAUAAUUGACUACUCACGUGUAUAUAUAUGAAAUAAAAUACAUUUGUCUCUCUCUCCUUUAACUAAGUGGUUGACAUUUAUAUUUCUAUUUCUUAAUGGAUGAAUCAUUUGAAAGUUAAGAAAGUUAUUACACAUGUCAUGUUUUGUCCUUAUUUACACAUAAUCAAAACAUAUACUUAAAUUAUUUAAAAGUUGAUCAAUUAUAUAAUAUUAUAUACAUAUAAUGUUUAUUAUAAUGUUUCUAAGAUAUAAAAGAUCGGUACUUAAAAUGUUUAUUAUUAAAAUUAAUUAAUUAUAUAUAUAUAUAUAUAUAUAUAUUAUAUAAAUUUUAAUAAUAUAAUUUUUUUUACAAGAAACAAUAAAUAAAUAAGAAUUAUUUAAGGAUGGACCCAACCCUAAUAAAAAAAUAAGAAAAAAAAGAAUAUAAAAUCCCACUCCUUAACUUGCCUCAAACAACCAACAAAAACUAUCAAUAAUUUCUUAUCCAAAACCAACAAAAAAAAAACUUGCCUUUAACAACCAUCAAAAUAUAACCUCACGUCAUAAAAUACAUACCAACACUAAAAUACUAACAAUUAACUUUUAUUAUUAUUGUUGUUGCUAAAAAGGAAAUACUAAAUCACUAAAAUAUUCAAGUAUUCCCUUGAAGAGACAGUCACCCCAUGGUGUAAGUCAGGAAGAAGUCACCUCUCACAAGUAUAAUUGUUCUCAUUUAUUUAGAUAAAAUCCAAAUAAGAUGUUUAGGACAUACUAUUAUAGUUAAUAAGAUUAUAAAAAAAACGUAUACAAUAAUGAUAUCUAAAACUUAUUGUAUAAAUAGAAGAGCAUCAACCAAACUAAAAACACUUUAUUAGUAGAAAAUGGGUAGGUAGCUGGACCUUGACCGUUCAAUAAUCAUAUUCUCUUUUUGAAAUUUAUGUUAAAAUAUUCAAUGCCCACAUUUUUUGUGUUUGUAGAACUCAAUCAUGCUUCAUCAUCACCCACAAUCUCACUAAAUACAAAUUAUACAAUAAAAUAAAUAAAGACACAAACACUGAAUAUUAAGAGGCUACCCGAUGACAUGGCGCAAUUGUACCCAUUGAUUUUAGUUUCAUGUCAUUCUAGCCGUUGAUGUAAUUUAAGAGGCCACCUACCACCACAAGUGGUUUACUUUUCUAGCUGCCCUACCAAGGUUGACUGAAAGGUCAGAGAGAGACACACAAAAAGUUCAAAGCAAGUGGCACAGAUAGAAUAAUCUCAUAAGGUAGAGAUGCAUAAAAUAUCACCAAUUAUUGGUUGCUACUUUUGGAAAUGAAUGAACCAAUUAGUUAUAUGGUGGCAGAGAGAUGGUCUUCUAAACUAUGCCACCAAACCCUCGUAAUGGAAAAUGCUAUUGGUGAUGCACGUGAUACCCACCUACCCACUUCCUACAUAUAAAACGCUAACUCCUCCAACAUCUUCCAACACACAACUUCAGCAACCAAACCAACAACCCUCUCUACCACUCAAGUGCUGUGAAUUUGGUCACUUCUUUCAUCUGUCAACCAAAUCGCAGUGCUUCAUUCCGUGUUCUAAACCAUUGUCAACAUCACCACUUCAUUGGUUCUAUUCAAGAAAACUAAGAUGGUGAGUGUAUCUGAGAUCCGACAGGCUCAAAGGGCAGAAGGUCCAGCAACCAUCCUUGCCAUUGGAACUGCAACCCCAUCUAACUGUGUUGAUCAGAGCACAUAUCCCGAUUACUACUUCAGAAUCACAAACAGUGAGCACAUGACCGACCUCAAAGAGAAGUUUCAGCGCAUGUGUAAGUCCUCUCAUCUUCUCAUAUCUACCAAAAUCCUAAAUUUAACAAGUUUAUGAUGUUGAAUGAAGGUGAUUAACAUUGAUAUUGGUUUACAAUGUUUCAGGUGACAAGUCGAUGAUAAAGAAGAGAUAUAUGCAUUUGAACGAGGAGAUACUGAAGGAGAAUCCUAACAUGUGUGCUUACAUGGCACCUUCUUUGGAUGCGAGGCAAGACAUAGUGGUGGUAGAGGUACCAAAGUUAGGGAAAGAGGCUGCAGUGAAGGCCAUAAAGGAGUGGGGACAGCCAAAGUCAAAGAUUACACACUUGAUAUUUUGCACCACCAGUGGUGUCGACAUGCCUGGUGCUGAUUACCAGCUCACCAAACUCUUGGGACUUCGGCCCUAUGUGAAGAGGUACAUGAUGUACCAACAAGGAUGCUUUGCAGGAGGCACGGUUCUUCGAUUGGCCAAGGAUUUGGCUGAGAACAACAAAGGUGCCCGUGUGCUUGUGGUGUGUUCUGAGAUCACUGCAGUGACUUUCCGUGGGCCAAGUGACACCCACCUAGACAGUCUUGUGGGACAGGCAUUGUUUGGAGAUGGAGCAGCUGCAGUGAUUGUUGGUUCUGACCCAAUUCCACAGAUUGAGAAGCCUUUGUUUGAGUUGGUUUGGACUGCACAGACCAUUGCUCCAGACAGUGAUGGUGCUAUUGAUGGUCACCUUCGUGAAGUUGGACUCACGUUUCACCUCCUUAAGGAUGUUCCUGGGAUUGUCUCAAAGAACAUUGGAAAGGCACUUUUUGAGGCCUUCAACCCAUUGAACAUAUCUGAUUACAACUCCAUCUUCUGGAUUGCACACCCUGGUGGACCUGCAAUUCUGGACCAAGUUGAGCAAAAGUUGGGUCUGAAACCUGAAAAGAUGAAGGCCACUAGAGAUGUGCUGAGUGAUUAUGGGAACAUGUCAAGUGCAUGUGUGCUAUUCAUCUUGGAUGAGAUGAGGAGGAAAUCAGCUGAAAAGGGACUUAAAACAACAGGUGAAGGACUUGAAUGGGGUGUUUUGUUUGGUUUUGGACCUGGACUUACCAUCGAGACCGUCGUUCUCCACAGUGUCGCAAUAUAACACCCACACCAUUCCCUACCCUAUUGUUUCUGCAUUGAGAUUUUAUUUUUGAUUUUUUUAUGUAUUUGUUGAAAAUUUUAUUUAUAAUAUAAUAAUUAUAAGAAUUAAAAAUGUAUAAUUUUGAUUUUAUUGAUUCCAAAAUUAAUUGUGCAAAAAAUAGAAAGCAUUUUCCAAAUACUUUGCCUUUUUAUUACUUUACAUUUUUUUUUUGCAUGAAUCUUUUACCUGUCUAAUAUGAAAUAAUAAAUUAUCAUUGACAUGAAAUAAAUACUACAAUAAAUUGUCGAGAUUUUUUUAUUUUGGAAAUGACGUAAAUUUAGGGAAAUGCUUGAUAGUGGUAGUUUUCUAGCAAAAUUGAAAAGAAUAAUAAAAAAUUGAUAUCAAAUAUAUAUAAUUUGAAAGCGAUUCUAUAUAUUUAAAAAUAAUACAAAUUAGAAUGAAAAAGUGUGAUGGUGGUAGUUUUUUAACAAAAUUGAAAAGCAUAAUAAAAAGUUGUUAUAAACUGUAUUUUUCUAUUCAUUUAAUUUACAAAAGUUAAAAUUGGAAUGAAAGUGAAAAACUGGAUCGUGAAUACAACAAAACAAAGAUGAGAAAACUUGUCUGGAAUAUGUGUUAAUAUAUAAAAUUAUAAUAGAAUUUCAAUUAUAAGUUUGUAAUUGCAUCACAUGGUUAUGGAAACAUGUUCAUAGAAAACCGUGUUAGAAAUUUAUUAAUAAGAUUUACACUGAGUUUCUAAAUUUGUAGAUAAUGUUGUUAAGAAGUGAGUUUUAAGCCUAACUCAACUUCGUAAAACUGGCUUAUAAGGUGAGGUUUGCACCCACUUAUAAAGAAUGAAAUAUCUUAAUUUAUAGUUGAUGUGAGAUCUCCAACACACCCCUCACAUGUGUGAAGAUAUAUGUUAUAGGUGGUCCGAUAACGGUCCGAUAGCGGGUGACACAAUAGGCCCAACAAACACUCACUAUGAUAGGUUUUUAAAUGGCUCUGAUACCAUGUUAAGAAGUGGACUUUAAGCCUAACACAACCUCAUGAAACAAGUUCAUAAGGUGAGCUUUGCACCCAAUUAUAAAGAAUAGAAAAAACUUUCAAAAUUGAGUGUAAGUUGCACCCAAUUGAGUGUAGAGACAUGCUUAGUGAGAAAAUUGUAUAAAAAAAUUAGCCCAUUAAGAUAGGAUUGAUCCUCAAAGGUGUGGGAGACACGUUGCUUAGAAAUUUCAAUAAAUGUUCACCCAUAACAUUUUGAUUGAGUUCACAUGAGUAAGACGCAAUUAUGUAGAAAAUUACAUCAAAAAAAAUUUCAUAGGGGUGUAAUUAUGCAACAUCAAUGCGAGAACUAUCAAUAAAGUUAUAUUAUGUGUUUGGCGUAUUCUAACUGGGAAAAUUGCAACCUAUGAUAAUCUAUUACAUAGAGGAAUUUAGAGUGGUGGGGGGAUGUGUGUCAUGUGUGGGAUUGAGCUAGAAACAGUAAAUCAUCUUUUCUUUACAUGCAAAGUAGCUUCUAAAGUGUGGUGUAUGUCUGAUGUGUGGGUUGGUAGAGUUUUUGUACAUUGUGAUAAUACUACUCAACAUUUUGAACAUAUUGGCUUUAUGGACCUAAAUUAUGUGGGUAAUUGUGUUUGAAAGUGUAUGUGGACAACCAUUAUUUGGGGAAUUUGGAAUCAUAGAAAUAAGAUUAUUUUUAAUAAUGGAGUGGUAGAUCCUUUUGAAACUUUUGUUAUGGCACAAGUAAAGGUGUGGGACAUGGGUAACUUAUAAAUUCCCAAAAUCAAACUUCUCUUAUUCUGAUUGGUGCUUUGAUGUAUAUGAAAGUUUGAAAUCACUACAUUGAUGGUUAACUAUCUUCCUCCUCUUUUAUGGUGGGUUCUAUUUUGGAUGAGAACACAUAUUGCUGAGUGUGAUUCAACCUCUGAUACUGGGGAGGAGCAAAGAACCAACAUACCUUUGUGGAGAUGUCAUGCCUUAUAUCCUGGACAUGGGUUAUGUUGUUGCCUUAUUUUUUGUAUUAUAGUAAGCUGGAUAUGUACAAAUUUUGGCUAAGAACUAGGCGUAUUGUACGUGGAUUGGAGUACCCAAGUAUUCUCAUUUAUAUUAUUUUUUAUUGUUAAUUAAAACAAAAGUGUUUAGAUCUAACAAUUGAGACACCAAAUCAUUGAAAAAACACAAUUUUUAUGAUAAAAAAUUCUUUGCAUAAGAGCGAAGAUUUAUGCAAAUUAUAGUCAUUUUUUUAUGCAAAUUGUAGUCAUAAUAAAUUAUAUUCUUAUUCAUAACCGAUUAUGUUGGUCUUUCAUAAUCGAUACGUCUUGAACAUAAUUGAUUGAUGUUGGUUAAUUUUUUAUUAAUAUUUAUGUUUUUAUUUAUUAUAAUAAAAUAAAUAAAUAAUAUAAUAUUAUUAAAAUUAAAAAUUAAAAAAAUCAAUCAUAUCUGCAACUUUAUACUCAAAUAUAUUUAUUUUUCUUUAAUCCAAACCACCUAUUUUUUUAUUGUUUUUCUCAUCAUUUUGUUUCUUUCUCCACUUCCAAUCAAAACAAAUUGUGUUUAGAUUAAGAAAAGGAUGAAAAAGGUAAAAAAAAAAAAGGAUAAAAAGAGUGAGGAAAGUGAGAUUGUAGAUCGAGUGAAAGUGAGUAAAUUUUUUUUAAAGAUUUGAUUGUGAUAGAAUAAAUUUAUUGUGUAUAAAUGCAUAUAGAAAAUAGUUUAUGGAAUCAAUUUUUAAAAAAUUGAAUGUAAAAAAUAAACUUCUUUGAAUUUGUAAAUUAAAGUCAAAAUAAAUUUUAAAUUACACUAUAAGCAAAGCAUAAAACCUAAAAAACCACUUAUACUUUGGAAAAGAUUAUUUCAUGUUUGAUUCUAUCAUUCGUACUUAAGACUCAAAAGUGAUUCUUCCUCAACCAAUUCUACUUGCACAUCUUCAUCUGUCACUUGGUUAAAGAUAAAAUUAAUUAUUAUAUUCACUAAAUUAUAUAUUAUUUCAAAGACUAAAAACUUUAUUAGUAUCUAAAAUAAUUGAUAUUAUUAAUAAAUAAUUUUUAAAUUAAUAUUUAAUUAGUUAAUAGAAAAAUUUAGGUAACAAAUUUUUAAAAUAUAAAGUACGAAAAAAAUGCAUUAAAAGAAUGUUAUUAAAAAAUAUGAUAUAAAUAGAAGAGCAAACUAGAAAAUGGUAGCUCCAAUAGGUUGACCGUUGAAGAAUGAACUAACCACUUUGAAUUUUAAUUUAAAAUAUUGAGUGGAAAAAUUCUUUUAUGGGUUCAUAGAACUUAAUGCUGCUUGACGAUGACAAACGAAGUAACCAACAGGAGAGAAUAUACAAUAAAAUAAUAUGAAGAAUUAGUGGUCUCUGAUUUUAUUGGGAUUUCAUUGUGACCGUUCGAUUACUUCACCUGCAACCUACCAACACUAUUGCCUCCGGUAUCUUCCUGCGCUACCACCGUUCACUCCAUUAACGUUACAAAAGUGUGUUAAUUAUUUAGGAAAAUAUACUUUACAGCUCUUAAAGUUCUAAACAACUUUUGAUUAAAACUAGUAAAACUAAAUAACAGCAUUAGCAUAAAUUAACCCUGGAUUAAAAAAGUCAACCCACAGCAUCUGUAGUUGAUGGACGGUAGGAGAAUAAUUCAUUCAACAUUUUCACUCCAAAGCCAAGUUCGACGCACACGUGAUAAAAUAUCACCAAUUAUUGGUUGGUCAAUUCAAAGAUAGAUGACGAGUUAACGGAGUUAGAGAUGGUCUUCUAAACCGAACUUCUCAUAUGUCACAAACUACCACAUGGAAACUAUACAACAUGUGCUUUCGACGAAAGGUGGAAAUUGGUCAUACACGUGAUGCUCACCUACUCUUCUUCCUAUCCACCCUCCAUGCAUAUAAAACGCUAACUCCUCCAACAUCUUCAAACACACAACUUCAGCAACCAAACCAACAACCCUCUCUACCAUCGAAAACAUCACCACUUCAUUACUUCUAUUCAAGAAAACUAAGAUGGUGAGUGUAUCCGAGAUCCGCCAGGCUCAAAGGGCAGAAGGCCCAGCAAACAUCCUUGCCAUUGGAACUGCAACCCCAUCAAACUGUGUUGAUCAGAGCACAUCCCGAUUACUACUUCAGAAUCACAAACAGUGAGCACAUGACCGACCUCAAAGAGAAGUUCCAGCGCAUGUGUAAGUCCUCUCAUCUUCUCAUAUCUACAAAAAUCAGAAAUCUAACAAGUUUAUGAUGUUGAAUGAAGAUGAUUAAUAUUGAUAUUGGUUUAAAAUGUUUCAGGUGACAAGUCGAUGAUAAAGAAGAGAUAUAUGCACCUCAACGAGGAGAUACUGAAGGAGAAUCCUAACAUGUGUGCUUACAUGGCACCUUCUUUGGAUGCGAGACAAGACAUAGUGGUGGUAGAGGUACCAAAGUUAGGGAAAGAGGCUGCAGUGAAGGCCAUAAAGGAGUGGGGACAGCCAAAGUCAAAGAUUACACACUUGAUAUUUUGCACCACUAGUGGCGUGGACAUGCCUGGUGCUGAUUACCAGCUCACCAAACUCUUGGGACUUCGGCCCUAUGUGAAGAGGUACAUGAUGUACCAACAAGGGUGCUUUGCAGGAGGCACGGUUCUUCAAUUGGCCAAGGAUUUGGCUGAGNNNNNNNNNNNNNNNNNNNNNNNNNNNNNNNNNNNNNNNNNNNNNNNNNNNNNNNNNNNNNNNNNNNNNNNNNNNNNNNNNNNNNNNNNNNNNNNNNNNNNNNNNNNNNNNNNNNNNNNNNNNNNNNNNNNNNNNNNNNNNNNNNNNNNNNNNNNNNNNNNNNNNNNNNNNNNNGAGCUGGUUUGGACUGCACAGACCAUUGCUCCAGACAGUGAUGGUGCUAUUGAUGGCCACCUUCGUGAAGUUGGACUCACGUUUCACCUCCUUAAGGAUGUUCCUGGGAUUGUCUCAAAGAACAUUGGAAAGGCACUUUUUGAGGCCUUCAACCCAUUGAACAUCUCUGAUUACAACUCCAUCUUCUGGAUUGCACACCCUGGUGGACCUGCAAUUCUGGACCAAGUUGAGCAAAAGUUGGGUCUGAAACCUGAAAAGAUGAAGGCCACUAGAGAUGUGCUUAGUGAUUAUGGGAACAUGUCAAGUGCAUGUGUGCUUUUCAUCUUGGAUGAGAUGAGGAGGAAAUCAGUUGAAAAUGGACUUAAAACAACAGGUGAAGGACUUGAAUGGGGUGUUUUGUUUGGUUUUGGACCUGGUCUUACCAUCGAGACUGUUGUUCUCCACAGUGUUGCAGUCUAACACCCACACCGUACCCUAUUCUAUUGUUUUAUUAUGUACCAAUUUUAAAACUUGUUGAAGGUUGUAAUUUGCAUUAAAAUGAUACACGUGGUUUAAAAAAAUUGUUUGUUGACAAAUAAAUUGUUUGUUGACAAAUAAAUUGUUUUUUUAUUUAUUUAAAUCUAGCAAAAUAAUAAUAAGAUAAUUAGAUAUUUCAGAUUUGGAAGAUAACAAAAGAAUACAUGAGAACAAAGAGUUGCCUAAAAACAGUAUUUGCAAAGUUAUGAGAGUUGGGUAAAAAAAUAGGAUUUACAUGUAUGGGAGCAGCAAGAUGUCAUUAAAGAAAUCGAAACUAUGAGACUAAGAGAUAAAACAUUUAAUGUAUCGGGGAGGAACAAGAUGUCAUUAAAGAAAUAGAAAAUAUGGAACUAAGGAACACUUGAUUUUGGCUUAUUGGUGAUAAAAAAGAAGAAGGAUAAAACACUUAAAACAAAUACGGAAGAGAGGAGAACCAAUGUCACAAAUGAAAGUUAAUACCAUUAAAUAUAUAUAAGAGAAUUAAGGGAAACAAUAAAUAUAUAUCUAGGGACUUAAUCCAAAAUGAAGGGAAACAUGUGCGAAAGCACAAAGAGCUCUAGCCCCAAUGAUUCAAUUUUGCUUUCAUUAAAAGAAAUUUAGGGAAAUUAUGAAAUAUGAAAUAAUGGAGGGGUCCAAUUCUUCUAAAAUAAUGAGAUAUUUUCAAGGGAAACAAAUGCAACAUUUUUAACACUCGUACCAAAAACCCCUUUGGUUUAAAUGAAUAUAAGUCAAUCUCAUUAGUUUGAAGUUUGCAUAAAAUUAUAGCCAAGGAGUUAUCCUUCAAGUUAAAGGCAAUUUUAAACAAGGUCAUAAUUCAUCUCAUGCAACUUUUAUUGAGGGAGGAGGAAGGAUACACAGCAGUGUGGUAGUUGCGUAAUUAUUAAAGUAGAUUUUGAAAAUGCAUAUAAUACUGUAAGAUGGGAAUCUAUCUAAGAUAUGAUGAGACGAUUAUGAUUGCAAGAUACAUUGAUCAAUUGGAUGAAAGGGGUGUUGGGAAUCAACAACCAUUUCAAUUAUGGUCAAUGAAAGUCCCACCACAAAAUUUAAGCCUACAAUUCUUAUUCUUAAUUGCAGCUGAAGGAUUAAAUGAGAUAAUUAGACAAAAAAAUUAGGAGGAAUAUGUUAGAAGGGAUAAAAAUUGGAAAGAAGGAUAUAUAUUACAGUUGAUGGCACAAUUUUCAUGGUAAAGGAUGAUUUUAAGAAUAUAUUUUUUAUCAAGGUUAUUUUAAGAUGUUUUGAACUUGCACUUAGGGUUAAAGAUCAAUUUUAUGAAUUAUUUUUCAAAUCAUUUAAAUUGUAGUCAUAUGAAUAUUCCAUUUAUAUACUUGGGAAUGGUUGUAGGGUGAAACCCUAGAAAAACAGGUCUAUGGCAAGGGCUAGUUAAUAAAAUUAAGAAUAGACUGAGGAGAUGGAAAGGGAGAGUUUUGUCUUUUACAGGAAGGAAGAGUGAGUCUGUUAAAAUCUGUAAUCUCUUAACUACCAUUAUAUUACAUUUCCUUCUUCAAAAUUCCAAAAAAUACCAGGAAUCGAAUUAAAACCAUAGAAAGGAUUUUUCAUAGGAUUGAGUAUAUGAUACCAAAAAGAUAGUUUGGGUCAAGUGGGAUGAUGUAUGCGAGCCAAAGGAAGGGGGUCUAGGAGUUAGAGACAAAAUUAUUUAAUAAAGCACUAUUAGCCAAAUGGAAAUGGAGGUUAGGAUCUACGAACCAUAAUGGGCUUUGGAAAAGUAUUCCAAAAUUAAAAUAUGGCUUGUGGAGAAAUUUGAAUUAGUGUGGAAAAAAGGGCAUAGUCAUGAUGGUGGAAAGACUUGAGAGAGGUGUGUGGAAAAAUGGCAUGUGGAAUGGUUUGAUAGAGUUAAUAUAUUUUUUGGGAAGAUAGAUGGUGUGGAGAAUUCUUCCUUAUGCACAAAUAUCCUAGAAUAUAUGGGGAUGCAGUUGUCAAAAGUGCAACAAUUAAGGAGGUUGGGAGAUGGACAAGGAAUAAAUGAGAAUGAAGUAUACAAUGGAUAAGAGUUUGGUUUGAAUGAGAAAAAGUAUAAUGCAUAGAGUUUAUCCAAGACAUAAACAAACUCAACAUUCACAAGGAAGGAUGUGAUGAUUUGGUGUGGAAGGAUGAUGAGGUGGAUGAGUACACAAUAAAAUCAGCAUACAAAAAGUUAGUGAGAGUUUAUAUUGGGGAGUAUAAUGAUUUUUUUUAAACUAUUUUGGAGAACAAAGGCUCAACCAUCUACACACCAUAUUGCUUGGAAAGUAAUCAUAGGUAGAAUCCCAAUAUUGGAAAAUCUAAGCAAUAGAGGUGUCUAAUAGUUGUAGUUUUUCUGUCAAAUUAAAAUUAUUCCAAUGUAAAUCGUCUAACUAGUACUAGACCGUCUAACGUCAGAAAGAUAAUAGUAUAAUUGUUGUCAGAUGACCCCAAAUUAUCCCCAACAAAUAUAAUGAAAAGAACAUAUAUAAAACAAAGUAUGAAAUAUCAUACAAUAUAAUGGAAAAUAAUAAAAACAAAAGGUAUUAUUAUAUAUUAUUGCAUGAAAGUCAAAACAAAAAAACAUCAUCAUUCUAAGUGACUUUCCCUUUCAAUCUUUGCAUCUUGGAAGGUGGAGAGAAAUCACUUCACGAAUUCACUCUUCCUCAUUUCGUUCGCAUCCCUUAUUUCAAACCAUGAAUAUCUCCUUAAAUUAUUAUAAAUCCUUAAAAGAGACAUAAUUUUUUUAAUACAUAUAUCUUUUAUUAAUUUUGGAAUCAAUAAAAUAAAAAGUAUACAUUCUUAAUUUUUAUAAUUAUUAUUCUCAAUAUUAUAAAUAAAAUUUUCAAAAAAUACAUAAAAAAAGUUAAAAAUAAAAUCUGAAUGCGGAAACAACAUGGUAAGGCAUGGUGUGAGUGUUAUAUUGCGACACUGUGGAGAACGACUGUUUCGAUAGUAAGUCCGGGUCCAAAACCAAACAAAACACCCCAUUCAAGUCCUUCACCUGUUGUUUUAAGUCCCUUUUCAGCUGAUUUUCUCCUCAUCUCAUCCAAGAUGAAUAGCACACAUGCACUUGACAUGUUCCCAUAAUCACUCAGCACAUCUCUAGUCGCCUUCAUCUUUUCAGGUUUCAGACCCAACUUUUGCUCAACUUGGUCCAGAAUUGCAGGUCCACCAGGGUGUGCGAUCCAGAAGAUGGAGUUGUAAUCAGAGAUGUUCAAUGGGUUGAAGGCCUCAAAAAGUGCCUUUCCAAUGUUCUUUGAGACAAUCCCAGGAACAUCCUUAAGGAGGUGAAACGUGAGUCCAACUUCACGAAGGUGGCCAUCAAUAGCACCAUCACUGUCUGGAGCAAUGGUCUGUGCAGUCCAAACCAGCUCAAACAAAGGCUUCUCAAUCUGUGGAAUUGGGUCAGAACCAACAAUCACUGCAGCUGCUCCAUCUCCAAACAAUGCCUGUCCCACAAGACUGUCUAGGUGGGUGUCACUUGGCCCACGGAAAGUCACUGCAGUGAUCUCAGAACACACCACAAGCACACGGGCACCCUUGUUGUUCUCAGCCAAAUCCUUGGCCAUUCGAAGAACCGUGCCUCCUGCAAAGCACCCUUGUUGGUACAUCAUGUACCUCUUCACAUAGGGUCGAAGUCCCAAGAGUUUUGUGAGCUGGUAAUCAGCACCAGGCAUGUCCACGCCACUAGUGGUGCAAAAUAUCAAGUGUGUAAUCUUUGACUUUGGCUGUCCCCACUCCUUUAUGGCCUUCACUGCAGCCUCUUUCCCUAGCUUUGGUACCUCUACCACAACUAUGUCUUGCCUCGCAUCUAAAGAAGGUGCCAUGUAAGCACACAUGUUAGGAUUCUCCUUCAGUAUCUCCUCGUUGAGGUGCAUAUAUCUCUUCUUUAUCAUCGACUUAUCACCUGAAACAUUGUAAACCAAUAUCAAUGUUAAUCAUCACCUUCAUUCAACAUCAUAAACUUGUUAGAUUUCUGAUUUUUGUAGAUAUGAGAAGAUGAGAGGACUUACACAUGCGCUGGAACUUCUCUUUGAGGUCGGUCAUGUGCUCACUGUUUGUGAUUCUGAAGUAGUAAUCAGGAUAUGUGCUCUGAUCAACACAGUUCGAUGGGGUUGCAGUUCCAAUGGCAAGGAUGGUUGCUGGACCUUCUGCCCUUUGAACCUGACGAAUCUCGGAUACACUCACCAUCUCAGUUUUCUUGAAUAGAAGUAAUGAAGUGGUGAUGUUGAGAUGGUAGAGAGGGUUCUUUGGUUUGGUUGCUGAAGUUGUGUGUUUG
rnacentral:lncRNA from 1 species